rnacentral:lncRNA from 1 species
CAACAACAUGUGGGUCAAGGUACUCUCGUCCAAGGCCAGGGCAUCAUCCAACCUCAACAACCAGCUCAAUUGGAGGCGAUCAGGUCAUUGGUGUUGCAAACUCUUCCAACCAUCUGCAAUGUGUAUGUCCCACCUGAGUGCUCCAACAUCAGGGCACCAUUUGCCAGCAUAGUCGCGGGGAUUGGUGGCCAAUGAAAAAAGCAAGAGCUAUACUAAUAGAUAGAUGGAUCCUCGUUGCUUAGCAGAUGCACCAAUCGAUGUAACGAUGACAAAUAAAGUGGCACGUACCAUCAUGUGUGACCCCGACCAGUGCUAGUUCAAGCUUGGGAAUAAAAGACAAACAAAGUUCUUGUUUGCCAGCAUUGAUUGUCAUUGUUCCAUUCACUGUGUAUUUAGUUGUUCAUCCCUAACCGCAGUUCUAGGCUUACACAUCAAUGGCUAUUUGCUCGUGCCGGCAGGUUCCUAUGUAAUCUACCGACUAAUGGUCGGCCUAUUGACCCAGUUUAUAGGCCGAUUGAUAUAUUAAUUGCUGCUCCCAAACUGACCGACCAGCUAUUAGUUACCAUUUUGCUGAACAUUGCACACAAUAAUAACUCAACAUAUUUUAAUGUCUAGAAGUAAAAGGGCCAUUUUAGCAGCAAAACAAGCGCCUGAUUAGGAACCAUCCAGCACUUUAAAUGUUCACCUAGAUAUUUCUACGUUGAUGCAAUUUUGAGAUUGGUGGCACCGAAACAUUCCUCAAAGCAAUUCUUUAUGGGACUCCAAAGAGGUGAAAAUAAAGUAAAGUUGCCACAUGGUAAAAUAUAAAUCAUGCGGCGAGCAAGAGCAAAUAUUGAGUCAUGAUAGCAAGCGCCAAACAUGCCAUUAAACUCUUCAUAUGGUUCCGUGCAGAGAAGGGGGAAAAUUGUUGGGGAACGUAGUCAUUUCAAAAAAAAUCCUACGCACACGCAAGAUCAUGGUGAUGCAUAGCAAUGAGAGGGGAGAGCAUCGUCCACCUACCCUCGUAGACCGUAAGCGGAAGCGUUAUGACAACGCGGUUGAUGUAGUCGUACAUCUAUAUGAUCGACCGAUCCUAGUACCGAACGUACGGCACCUCCGCAAUCUGCACACGUUCAGCUCGGUGACGUCCCAUGAACUCACGAUCGAGUAGAUCUUCAAGGGAGAGUUCCGUCAGCACGACGGCGUGAUGACGGUGUUGAUGAAGCUACCGACGCAGGGCUUCGCUUAUGCACUACUAUGAUAUGACCGAGGUGGAUUAUGGUGGAGGGGGCACCGCACACGGCUAAAGAUCAAUGAUCAACUUGUGUGUCUUGGGGUGCCCCCUGCCCCCGUAUAUAAAGGAGAAAGGGGGGAGGCGGCCGGCCAAGGAGGAGGGCGCGCCAAGGGGGGAGUCCUACUUAGGACUCCUCUUUCCUAUUAGGAGUAGGAGAAGGGGGAAAGGAAGGAGAGGAGGAGAAGGAAGGACGGGGCACCGCCCCUUCCCCUAGUCCAAUUCAGACUAGGCUUGGGGGGGGGGGCGGCCCAGCCCUAGCCAGCCCCUCUCUCUCCCUCUCUCUCCCUGAAGCCCAUUAACGCCCAUAAGAUCCCCGGGGGGUUCCGGUAACCUCUCGGUACUGUGGUAUUUAUCCGGUGUCCGAAUAUAACCUUCCAAUAUAUCAAUCUUUAUGUCUCGACCAUUUUAAGACUCCUCGUCAUGUCCGUGAUCAUAUCUGGGACUCCGAACUACCUUCGGUACAUCAAAACACAUAAACUCAUAAUACCGAUCGUCACCGAACGUUAAGCGUGCGGACCCUAUGGGUCCGAGAACUAUGUAGACAUGACCGAGACACGUCUCCGGGUUUAACCAAUAGCGGAACCUGGAUGCUCAUAUUGGCUCCUACAUAUGUUGGGGAACGUUGCAUAAAAUAAACUUUUUCCUAUGUUCACCAAGAUCAAUCUAUGAGUUCAUCUAGCAACGAGAGAGGGGAGUGCAUCUACAUACCCUUGUAGAUCACGAGCGGAAGCGUUCAAGAGAACGGGGUUGAGGGAGUCGUACUCGUCGUGAUCCAAAUCACCGGAGAUCCUAGCGCCGAACGAAUGGCACCUCCGCGUUCAACACACGUACGGUUAGCGUGACGUCUCCUCCUUCUUGAUCCAGCAAGGGGGAAGGAGAGGUUGAUGAAGAUCCAGCAGCACGACGACGCGGUGGAGGAUGCAGCAGAGUUCCGGCAGGGCUUCGCCAAGCGACUACGGGAGGAGGAGGUGUAGCAAGGGGGGAGGGAGGCGCCAAGACUUCAGGGUGCAGCUGCCCUCCCCUCCCCCUCCUUUAUAUAGGCCCCCUGGAGGGUGGCGCCGGCCCUGGAGAUGGGAUCUCCCAAGGGGGCGGCGGCUAGGGGGGUGGAGUGCCCCCCAAGGCAAGUGGAGGCGCCCCCCCCCCCCACCCUAGGGUUUCCAACCCUAGGCGCAGGGGGGCCCAAGGGGGUCGCACCAGCCCACCAGGGGCUGGUCCCCUCCCCACUUCAGCCCACGGGGCCCUCCGGGAUAGGUGGCCCCACCCGGUGGACCCCCGGGACCCUUCCGGUGGUCCCGGUACAAUACCGGUGACCCCCGAAACUCUCCCGAUCACCGAAACUGCACUUCCUAUAUAUAAUUCUUUAUCUUCGGACCAUUCCGGAACUCCUCGUGACGUCCGGGAUCUCAUCCGGGACUCCGAACAACUUUCGGUUUGCUGCAUACUCAUAUCUCUACAACCCUAGUGUCACCGAACCUUAAGUGUGUAGACCCUACGGGUUCGGGAGACACAUAGACAUGACCUAGAUGGCUCUCCGGUCAAUAACCAACAGCGGGAUCUGGAUACCCAUGUUGGCUCCCACAUGCUCCUCGAUGAUCUCAUCGGAUGAACCAUGAUGUUGAGGAUUCAAGCAACCCCGUAUUCAAUUCCCUUUGUCAAUCGGUAUUUUACUUGCCUGAGAUUCGAUCAUCGGUAUCCCAAUACCUCGUUCAAUCUCGUUACCGGCAAGUCACUUUACUCGUACCGUAAUGCAUGAUCCUGUGACCAGACACUUGGUCACUUUGAGCUCAUUAUGAUGAUGCACUACCGAGUGGGCCCAGAGAUACCUCUCCGUCAUACGGAGUGACAAAUCCCAGUCUCGAUCCGUGUCAACCCAACAGACACUUUCAGAGAUACCUGUAGUGCACCUUUAUAGUCACCCAGUUACGUUGUGACGUUUGGUACACCCAAAGCACUCCUACGGUAUCCGGGAGUUACACGAUCUCAUGGUCUAAGGAGAAGAUACUUGACAUUGGAAAAGCUCUAGCAAACGAACUACACGAUCUUGUGCUAUGCUUAUGAUUGGGUCUUGUCCAUCACAUCAUUCUCCUAAUGAUGUGAUCCCGUUAUCAAUGACAUCUAAUGUCCAUAGUCAGGAAACCAUGACUAUCUAUUGAUCAACGAGCUAGUCAACUAGAUGCUCACUAGGGACAUAUUAUGGUCUAUGUAUUCACACGUGUAUUACGAUUUCCGGAUAAUACAAUUAUAGCAUGAAUAAAGACAAUUAUCAUGAACAAGGAAAUAUAAUAAUGAUCCUUUUAUUAUUGCCUCUAGGGCAUAUUUCCAAAAGUCUCCCACUUGCACUAGAGUCAAUAAUCUACUUACAUUGUGAUGAAUCGAACACCCAUAGAGUUCUGGUGUUCAUCAUGUUUUGCUUGCGGAAGAGGUUUAGUCAACGGAUCUGCGACAUUCAGAUCCAUAUGUACUUUGCAAAUAUCUAUGUCUCCAUCUUGAACAGUUUCACGGAUGGAGUUGAAACGAUGCUUGACGUGCCUGGUCUUCUUGUGAAACCUGGGCUCCUUGGCAAGGGCAAUAGCUCCAGUGUUGUCACAGAAGAGAGUGAUUGGCCCCGACGCAUUGGGUAUGACUCCUAGGUCGGUGAUGAACUCCUUCAUCCAUAUUGAUUCAUGCGCUGCCUCCGAGGCUGCCAUGUACUCCGCUUCACAUGUAGAUCCCGCCACGACGCUCUGCUUGCAACUGCACCAGCUUACUGCUCCACGAUUCACCAUAUACACGUAUCCGGUUUGUGACUUAGAGUCAUCCACAUCUGUGUCGAAGCUAGCAUCGACGUAACCCUUUAUGACGAGCUCUUCGUCACCUCCAUAAACAAGAAACAUGUCCUUUAUCCUUUUCAGGUACUUCAGGAUAUUCUUGACCGCUAUCCAGUGUUCCUUGCCGGGAUUACUUUGGUACCUUCCUACCAAACUUACGGCAAGGUUUACAUCAGGUCUGGUGCACAGCAUGGCAUACAUAAUAGAUCCUAUGGCUGAGGCAUAGGGGAUGACACUCAUCUCUUCUUUAUCUUCUGCCGUGGUCGGGCAUUGAGCCGAGCUCAACUUCACACCUUGCAAUACAGGCAAGAACCCUUUCUUGGACUGAUCCAUUUUGAACUUCUUCAAUAUCUUAUCAAGGUAUGUGCUUUGUGAAAGACCUAUGAGGCGUCUCGAUCUACCCCUAUAGAUCUUGAUGCCUAAUAUGUAAGCAGCUUCUCCAAGGUCCUUCUUUGAAAAACACUUAUUCAAGUAGGCCUUAAUGCUGUCCAAAAGUUCUAUAUCAUUUCCCAUCAAAAGUAUGUCAUCUACAUAUAAUAUGAGAAAUGCUACAAAGCUCCCACUCACUUCCUUGUAAACGCAGGCUUCUCCAUAAGUCUGCAUAAACCCAAACGCUUUGAUCAUCUCAUCAAAGCGAAUGUUCCAACUCCGAGAUGCUUGCACCAGCCCAUAAAUGGAUCGCUGGAGCUUUCAUACCUUGUUAGCAUUCUUAGGAUCGACAAAACCCUCCGGCUGCAUCAUAUACAGUUCUUCCUUAAGAUGUCCGUUAAGGAAUGCCGUUUUGACGUCCAUCUUCCAUAUCUCAUAAUCAUAGUAUGCGGCAAUUGCUAACAUGAUUCGGACGGACUUCAGCUUCGCUACGGGAGAGAAAGUCUCAUCAUAGUCAACCCCUUGAACUUGUCGAUAACCCUUAGCGACAAGUCAAGCUUUAUAGAUGGUAACAUUACCAUCCGCGUCUGUCUUCUUCUUAAAGAUCCAUUUGUUUUCUAUCGCUCACCGAUCAUCGGGCAAGUCUGUCAAAGUCCAUACUUUGUUUUCAUCCAUGGAUUCUAUCUCCGAUUGCAUGGCUUCAAGCCAUUUGUUGGAAUCUGGGCCUGCCAUCGCUUCUUCAUAGUUCGAAGGUUCACCGUUGUCUAACAACAUGAUUUCCAGGACAGGGUUGCCAUACCACUUUGGUGUGGAACAUGUCCUUGUGGACCUAUGAAGUUCAGUAGCAACUUGAUCCGAAGUACUUUGAUCAUCAUCAUUAAUUUCCUCUCCAGUCGGUGUAGGCACCACAGCAACAUUUUCCUGAGCUGCACUACUUUCCGGUUCAAGAGGUAGUACUUCAUCGAGUUCUACUUUCCUCCCACUUACUCCUUUCGAGAGAAACUCUUUUUCCAGAAAGGAUCCGUUCUUGGCAACAAAGAUCUUGCCCUCGGAUCUUAAGUAGAAGGUAUACCCAAUGGUUUCCUUAGGGUAUCCUAUGAAGACGCAUUUUUCCGACUUGGGUUCGAGCUUUUCAGGUUGAAGUUUCUUGACAUAAGCAUCGCAUCCCCAAACUUUUAGAAACGACAGCUUAGGUUUCUUCCCAAACCAUAAUUCAUACGGUGUCGUCUCAACGGAUUAAGACGGAGCCCUGUUUAAAGUGAAUGUAGCUGUCUCUAGAGCGUAUCCCCAAAAUGAUAACAGUAAAUCGGUAAGAGACAUCAUAGAUCGCACCAUAUCCAAUAGAGUGCGAUUACGAUGUUCGGACACACCGUUACGCUGAGGUGUUCCAGGCGGCGUGAGUUGUGGAAUGAUUCCACAUUUCCUUAAGUGCGUACCAAAUUCGUGACUUAAAUAUUCUCCUCCACGAUCUGAUCGUAGGAACUUUAUCUUUCGGUCACGUUGAUUCUCUACCUCAUUCUGAAAUUCCUUAAACUUUUCAAAGGUCUCAGACUUGUGUUUCAUCAAGUAGACAUACCCAUAUCUACUCAAGUCAUCAGUGAGAGUGAAAACAUAAUGAUAUCCUCCGCGAGCCUCAACGCUCAUUGGACCACACACAUCAGUAUGUAUGAUUUCCAAUAAGUUGGUUGCUCGCUCCAUUGUUCUGGAGAACAGAGUCUUGGUCAUUUUGCCCAUGAGGCAUGGUUCGCAUGUGUCAAAUGAUUCAUAAUCGAGAGACUCUAAAAGUCCAUCAUCAUGGAGCUUCUUCAUGCGCUUGACACCAAUGUGACCAAGGUGGCAGUGCCACACGUAUGUGGGACUAUCGUUACCAACUUUACAUCUUUUGGUAUUCACACUAUGAAUAUGUGUAACAUUACGUUCGAGAUUCAUUAAGAAUAAACCAUUGACCAUCGGGGCAUGACCAUAAAAUAUAUCUCUCAUAUAAAUAGAACAACCAUUAUUCUCGGAUUUAAAUGAGUAGCCAUCUCGUAUUAAACGAGAUCCAGAUACAAUGUUCAUGCUCAAACUUGGCACUAAAUAACAAUUAUUGAGGUUUAAAACUAAUCACGUGGGUAAAUGUAGAGGCAGCGUGCCGACGGCGAUCACAUCGACCUUGGAACCAUUCCCGACGCGCAUCGUCACCUCGUCCUUCGCCAGUCUCCGCUUAUUCCACAGCUCCUACUAUGAGUUACAAAUAUGAGCAAUGGCACCGGUAUCAAAUACCCAGGAGUUACUAUGAGUACUGGUAAGGUACACAUCAAUUACAUGUAUAUCACAUAUACCUUUAGUGUUUUCGGCCUUCUUGUCCGCUAAGUAUUUGGGGCAGUUCCGCUUCCAGUGACCCUUCCCUUUGCAAUAAAAGCACUCAGUCUCAGGCUUGGGUCCAUUCUUUGACUUCUUCCCGGCAACUGGCCUACCGGGUGCGGCAACAUCCUUGUCGUCCUUCUUGAAGUUCUUCUUACCCUUCCCUUCUUGAACUUGGUGGUUUUAUUGACCAUCAACACUUGAUGUUCUUUCUUGAUUUCUACUUCUGUUGACUUUAGCAUUGAAAAUACUUCAGGAAUAGUUUUCACCAUCCCCUGCAUAUUGUAGUUCAUCACAAAGCUCUUGUAGCUUGGUGGGAGCGACUGAAGGAUUCUGUCAGUGACCGCCUUGUCCGGGAGGUUGAUGUCCAGCUGGGACAGGCAGUUGUGCAACCCAGACAUUUUGAGUAUGUGCUCACUGACAGAACUAUUUUCCUCCAUCUUACAACUAUAGAACAUGUCGGAGACUUCAUAUCUUUCGACCCGGGCAUGAGCUUGGAAAACCAGUUUCAGCUCCUUGAACAUCUCAUAUGCUCCGUGUUGGUCAAAAUGCUUUUGGAUCCUCGGUUCUAAGCUGUAAAGCAUGCCGCACUGAACGAGGGAGUAAUCAUCAGCACGUGACUGCCAAGCGUUCAUAAUGUCUUGGUUCUCUGGGAUGGGUGCAUCACCUAGUGGUCCUUCUAGGACAUAUGCUUUCUUAGCAGCUAUGAGGAUGAUCCUCAGGUUCUGGACCUAGUCCGUAUAGUUGCUUCCAUCAUCUUUCAGCUUGCUUUCUCUAGGAACGCGUUGAAGUUCAUGUUGACAUGAGCGUUGGCCAUUUGAUCUACAAGACAUUUUUGCAAAGAUUUUAGACUAAGUUCAUGAUAAUUAAGUUCAUCUAAUCAAAUUAUUUAAUGAACUCCCACUCAGAUUUGACAUCCCUCUAGUCAUCUAAGUGUUACACGAUCCGAGUCGACUAGGCCGUGUUCGAUCAUCACGUGAGACAGACUAGUCAUCAUCGGUGAACAUCUCGAUGUUGAUCGUAUCUUCCAUACGACUCAUGUUCGACCUUUCGGUCUCUGUGUUCCGAGGCCAUGUCUGUACAUGCUAGGCUCGUCAAGUUUAACCUAAGUGUUUUGCAUGUGUAAAACUGUCUUACACCCGUUGUAUGUGAACGUAGGAAUCUAUCACACCGGAUCAUCACGUGGUGCUUCGAAAUGACGAACUUUAGCAACGACGCACAGUUAGGGAGAACACUUUCUUGAAAUUAUUAUAAGGGAUCAUCUUAUUUACUACCGUCGUUCUAAGUAAACAAGAUGCAUAAACAUAAUAAACAUCACAUGCAAUUAUAUAGUAGUGACAUGAUAUGGCCAAUAUCAUAUAGCUCCUUUGAUCUCAAUCUUCGGGGCUCCAUGAUCAUCUUUGUCACCGGCAUGACACCAUGAUCUCCAUCAUCAUGAUCUCCAUCAUCGUGUCUCCAUGAAGUUGCUCGCCAACUAUUACUUCUACCACUAUGGCUAACGGUUUAGCAAUAAAGUAAAGUAAUUACAUGGCGUUAAAUCAUUGACACACAGGUCAUACAAUAAUUAAGACAACUCCUAUGGAUCCUGCCGGUUGUCAUAUUCAUCGACAUGCAAGUCGUGAUUCCUAUUACAAGAACAUGAUCUCAUACAUCACAAUAUAUCAUUCAUCAUUCAUCACAACUUUUGGCCAUAUCACAUCACAAGGCAAUUGCUGCAAAAACAAGUUAGACGUCCUCUAAUAGUUGUUGCAUCUUUUACGUCGCUGCAAUAGGGUUCUAGCAAGAACGUUUUCUUACCUACGAAAAAGCCACAACGUGAUUUGUCAACUUCUAUUUACCCUUCAUAAGGACCCUUUUCAUCGAAUCCGCUCCAACUAAAGUGGGAGAAACAGACACCCGCUAGCCACCUUAUGCAAGUAGUGCAUGUCAGUCGGUGAAACCUGUCUCAUGUAAGCGUACGUGUAAGGUCGGUCCGGGCCGCUUCAUCCCACAAUACCCUGAAGCAAAAUAAGACUAGUAGCGGUAAGAAAGUUGACAACAUCUACGCCCACAACAGAUUUGUGUUCUACUCGUGCAAUAGAGAACUACGCAUAGACCUAGCUCAUGAAGCCACUGUUGGGGAACGUUGCAUAAAAUAAAAAAUUUCCAACGUUCACCAAGAUCAAUCUAUGAGUUCAUCUAGCAACAAGAGAGGGAGUGCAUCUACAUACCCUUGUAGAUCGCGAGUGGAAGCGUACAAGAGAAUGGGGUUGAGGGAGUCAUACUCGUCGUGAUCCAAAUCACCGGAGAUUCUAGCGCCGAACGGACGGCACCUCCGCGUUCAACACACGUAUGGUCAGCGUGACGUCUCCUCCUUCUUUAUCCAGCAAGGGGAAAGGAGAGGUUGAUGAAGAUCCGGCAACACGACGGCGUGGUGGUGGAUGCAGCAGAGUUCCGGCAGGGCUUCGCCUAGUGACUACGGGAGGAGGAGGUGUAGAAAGGGGGGAGGGAGGCGCCAAGACUUCAGGGUGCGGCUGCCCUCCCCUCCCCCUCCUUUAUAUAGGCCCCUUGGGGGGGAGCCGGCCCUGGAGAUGGGAUAUCCAAAGGGGGCGGCGGCCAGGGGGGUGGAGUGCCCCCCAAGGCAAGUGGAGGCGCCCCCCCACCCUAGGGUUUCCAACCAUAGGCGCAGAGGGGGGCCAAGGGGGCACACCAGCCCACCAGGGGCUGGUCCCCUCCCCACUUCAGUCCACGGGGCCCUCCAGGAUAGGUGGCCCCACCCGGUGGACCCCCGGGACCCUUCCGGUGGUCCCGAUACAAUACCGGUGACCCCCGAAACUCUCCCGAUGGCCGAAACUGGACUUCCUAUAUAUAAUUUUAUCUUUGGACCAUUCCGGAACUCCUCGUGACGUCCGGGAUCUCAUCCGGGACUCCGAAAAACUUUCGGUUUGCUGCAUACUCAUAUCUCUACAACCCUAGUGUCACCGAACCUUAAGUGUGUAGACCCUACGGGUUCGGGAGACACGUAGACAUGACCGAGACGGCUCUUCGGUCAAUAACCAACAUCGGGAUCUGGAUACCCAUGUUGGCUCCCACAUGCUCCUCGAUGAUCUCAUCGGAUGAACCAUGAUGUCGAGGAUUCAAGCAACCCCGUAUUCAAUUCCCUUUGUCAAUCGAUAUUUUACUUGCCCGAGAUUCGAUCGUCGGUAUCCCAAUACCUCAUUCAAUCUCGUUACCGGCAAGUCACUUUAAUCGUACCAUAAUGCAUGAUCCCGUGACCAGACACUUGGUCACUUUGAGCUCAUUAUGAUGAUGCACUACCGAGUGGGCCCAGAGAUACCUCUCUGUCAUACGGAGUGACAAAUCCCAGUCUCGAUCCGUGUCAACCCAACAGACACUUUCGGAGAUACCUAUAGUGCACCUUUAUAGUCACCCAGUUACGUUAUGACCUUUGGUACACCCAAAGCUAUCAGGACCCCGACUCAAUGCCACAUCGAUCUAGCAUGUAACACCUCAUAUCACUUUGCGGCCUCACGCACGGUAUUCCCACGGGUGUCGUCUUACCUUUGCCCGGGACCGUUUGCACCUUUUGGCACACGUAUAUGAUAGUGUUGCUGGCAUCCAUAUGGUAAGGAGCCCGGGCUGACAUGGCUAGUCGUAAACCCAAAGUGGCACAGACUUACAGGGACAGGCAUCCAUGACCCAGCAUCGAACGUGUCGGUCAUCAGCAAGUGAAUCCGGGCUUUAGCACCGGGCUAGCAGGACUCCGGUAAACCGUGCUGCAGCGGGCUAACAGGACUCCGGUAUUCAUCGCAUGACAUUUCGCCGAAGGGACAGACACAGGAACGAAGAAGGCACAUGCCGGCCAGCCUAAGUGUUCCGGAGCAGUAGCAAGCUACCAUGGCUCAGUGGAAGCACUAGGAGACAUUUCCCGGUAAGAGAGGCUACUAAGGAUAAACAACUAGAUAGUCAGAUCCCACACAUACCAAGCAUUUCAAUCAUACACACAAUAUGCUCGAUAUGUGCAAAUACAACAAGGCAUCACAACAUGACUCUACAACACAAGUACUUUAUUUAAAGGCUCAGAGAGCCAUACAUAGUAUACACACAAGUACGGGUCACAUGACCCACAUUCAAGUAAUACAAGCAUACAAGCCAACAGCGGAAGUAACUUGUCUGAGUAGAGACAACUAGUAAAAUAAAAGAGGCCUGGGUAAGCCUAGCUAUACUACAUGGUCCUUCACAAGCUCAGGAUCACCACCUGGGCCUCAGUCUACUCAUCGAUGUCAACGUCUACGAAGAACCUGUCAGAAGGGGUUGUAGCAUCUUCUGUAAAAUGUAAAUUAGAGCAACAUGAGUACAAAGGUACUCAGCAAGACUUACAUCAGAUCCUACAUACAUGCACAUUAUCAAGAAGGGUUGGUGGGGUUAUUGCAGCAAGCCAGCUUCGACUCUUGGCUAAGCUAUCCUAUGAGACUCCAACUUGAAAUGGUUUUGCACACACGAGUCCACUACUCACCACUUCAAUACACAACCGAGGAUUCACCUCCGUCUUCCUACGGAAGAGCCAUCCUCGGCACUCACAAUUAUCUUGAGGCUUUUAGUAGUUUCCAUUUACUUGUCUAUGAACUGUUAUAGGCAACACAGAAGUCCUUUACCGCGGACACGGCUAUUCGAAUAGAUCAUUUAUAACCCUGCAGGGGUGUACUUCUUCAUACAUGUUUCCACCACUUAGCAUCUGCACACGACAUGUGCUCGGCAGACUUCAAGCGAAAGCGAAAGCCUAAACACUCAAGUCUCUAGUCCAGGUUUAUCGCCUAUUCAGGUUCCAUCCGCAGGGAGUCCGUCCGAGGUUUCCACAUACGGCCCCGAACGAUGUGUAUAGGGUUCCGUGACACCAAACAGGCGCCCGGUAUACCCGGCCACGUGCCUACCGCAUCACAGCCCACCCCUUCGAUCAGCGUUGCGCACGACCUCCAGCAUACUACAAACACCAGAAACUACUUGCAACUCCUGGACAGAGGACAAGGGUGAUUAAGAAGUCGAGCAGGGUCAUAUUUCAGGGCCCAAUGCAUGGUAGUAGCUGAACCAUGGAUCACAAACACAGAACUCAGUUCCUGAGGACGGCUUCAAUGAGACAAUCCACCAUGUACUCCUACAUGGCCUCUCAUAGCUACCUUUACCAAAUCCUGUUCACACACUUAGCUCACACUCAGUAGAAUAUGUUCACGCACCUCUGAUUCAUCCCCGAUGAAUCAGACCUGACUCAACUCUAAGCAAUAGCAGGCAUGACAAACAAACAUGAAUGAGUAGGCACAACAGGGCUCAAACAACUCCUACUCAUGCUAGUGGGUUUCAUCUAUUUACUGUGGCAAUGAUAGGUCCUGCAGAGGAUAAAGGGGUUCAGCUACCGCAGCAAGUAACAGAUGAAUCAUUGCUGUCCUAAUGCAGUAAAAGAGAGCAGGAGCGAGAGAGUAGGAUUGUAUCGAAAUGAACAAGGGGGUUUUGCUUGCCUGGCACUUCUGAAGAUAGUAUACUUCUUCAUCGGUGUCAGCGAUCACAACGUCGGUACAACGUCUACCGAGGGGGAACAACACUGGCAAACAGAGAAGAAACACGAUCAAUGCAAUGCACAAUAUGAUGCCUGCUAUGACAUGGCAAUAUGAAUGUGUUUUGGGCUAAUGCAAGCUAGAACAGAUUGAGAUGAGUCCAUUUGAACCAAAGAUUCAAAUGCAAACCCAUUUUAAGAGGUCAUAAUAGUGUAUUAACUUGUUUCACCUAAACAGCAAGGUUAAUGUGUUCUAACAUGCAUGAAACCAGUGCAGAUGGAUAGAUUGGAUUUUUUUGAUCAUUUUUCAUAUAUAAAUUAUUUCAUUCUAAGUUACGGUUAAAUUUCUAUGAAUUUUAGAAGUUUAGAGCAUUUUCUGGAAUUUCCUGUAUAAAAAUAAAUCUAGAAAAUACUUAUUGCGUCAGCAUUGCGUCACUCUGACGUCAGCAGUCAACGAGGCCGGUCCAGGUCAAACCUGACGUGUGGGGUCCACACAUCAGUGACACGGUUAACCAACAGGGUUAAUUAAAAUUAAACUAAACCUAAUCUAGUUUAGUUAAGGCCUGGGCCCACAUGUCAGAGGCUAACCUAACUAACUAAGUUAAUUACCGCUCAUUAAUCUAUCGCUUAAUUAAGCAGGGGCCUGGCCCACACGUCAAUGAGUCAGGGGGAAGUCAAACCCCGGUCAAACCCGCCGGACCUGGUCCACGGCUCGUCGCCGGCGACGACAGAGACAACGAGGCGGCUCGGGAAUGCUCUACAGGGCACCGUUUUACUCGUGGUUUGCGGCUACGGCUAGCUAGCAAUGCGGCGCAUCUAAUGGAGCGAAUGGGUGGAGCUGGGGUGGCCUGAGCCGACGGCGGCGAGCUCCAAGGCGGCGGCCGGAGUUCGGGCAAUGACGGGUUUGGCGCCACAGUGCAUGGGAGGAGGAGCUGGUGGGCGCUACGGGCUCUUGGGGGUGCACUGGGUGUAGUGACGCGCUCGGUUUGGACGGAGGUGAACUAAAAUGACGACAGCGACAAGUCUGGCACCAGUGAGGUUUCGGUCUCGACGGAAACGAGGGCUACGAUGAGCUAAUGGACAUGUGAGUAGGGGGGUCAGUAAAGGAGCUUACGGCGAGUGCAGAGGUGGCCUCGGCGUGCUCGGGGAAGCACUGGAGCGAGCGGUGCGGCGAGAGGGAUCUCCGGCGGCCGGUGACGAAGAUGAUCAAGAUGGCGUCAAUCCAGGGCCUCCGGCGAUGCGUGGCUAGACGGAGAGGACGAGGGAGGCGUGGCGAUGCUCGUGGACACGUCGGAGAGGCUCGGGGUUGGCUGCGGCUGCGGCUAUGGCGAACGGCGGCGGCGGUGGCGUUCGGUGGUGAGAGGGAGAGAGAGUAGAGGAGGGGGAGGAGCAUGGGGAGAGUGAGAGAGAGCCACAGGGGUUGCGUGUCGACGUCCAUGGCAUCCAGAGGGACGUCGGGAGGCGGUGGAAAGCUGGAGGUGGCCGAGGGGCGUGGGCGUGAAUGGCGGCCACACGCCUCUCAUCCUACUGGCGAGAGGUGGGAGAUGACUGGCAGAUGGGCCUGGUGGGCUGCUACAGUGCCAGGCCGGCCAGGUAAGCGCCAGGUAUUCUCUCUCUCUCUCUCUUUUGUUAAUGUUUUUCUAUUUUUCUGUAACUUCAGGGCUUUAUUAAAAAUGCCAGGGCAUUUCCAAAAAUCAUGAAACUAAUCAUGGCUACUGUUUAGAAUAUAUCCAACAGUAAACAUUUUAGUUUAUGAUUAUUUGAGCAUUUAAAAUAUUUUAUAGCACUUAAAUGCCCAAAUGCAAAUACUAUAGGAUUUAAUUUAGAAAUCCAGAAUGGCCUAGAAAUAUGUGCAUGACAUUUGGCAGAGGUUUUCACCUUUGACCGAAAUCAUGAACUUUUCUAAAGGGCAUUUGGGAUCACUAAAAAUAUUAUUUUUUUGAACCUAGUUGAAUUCAUUUGGUGCUAGGGUUUCAACAAUCCCCAUUUCAAGUUUCAUGAAAUUUAAACAUGAUGCAUGGAUGCAAAGUCACUAGUUACGAGCAAACUCUAGGGCUGUGAUAACUCACCCCCACUAAACAAGAAUCUCGUCUUGAGAUUCAAGACGUGAGGUAAGAAGACAAAGGGGGCACAAAACCAACACAAUCUUCAUGAUCCAGGUUGCACCUCAUAAGGUUGUUGAUUCGUUGCAUACAUUGAUCUUGACAUCCUCGCUUUUGAGAUCUUCAUCCAUGCGAUGACGACGGAAAGGAACUCUACUAGGAUUGAUCUUCUCAAAGACCGAAUUAUACAAUCUCAACUCGCGGAGUGAGAUGUUGAAACACCUUGAGUUGAGACACAAAACACAUCGAGAGGGAUGGAAGAACAAACGACGGGGUUUGAUUUGGUGGGAAACAAUUCCACGCUUAGAAAGAUGGUGGAUGGUGUCAAGGUGGCGAGGAAAUAAUUGCCAUGAUCCCGUAACGGGGCACCUUAGGGAAGGUGACUCGUAGGUUUGUUACCUUAAGUGGCAAAAGGAAUUAUUUUUGAUUCAGAGAUCAUUGAAACUCUUUAUACCAGCCUAAGGCAAUUCACAACAAUCGUUUGGCAGAGUACAAAGGGAUGGCAUACCCGGACUAGAAUGGAUGAUGUGGACUACCUUGUUGAAGACAACGUAAUGAAUGCUUUUUGCUUAUCAUCGGAGGUGGAGGGGACCCAUGGUAGGACCACUUCUAAAGAUGAUCCUGAACAACAAUUGCUGAGAAGGGCAGUCCAAGGAGGAUUGGCACAAGGCGGUGCAAGCUGGGAACGAAAUGCAAAUGUCGGGAAUGUUCCAACCAUCAUAUCUGCCUGAGAUUCAGAUUUGGUUGGUGUUAGGACAUUCCAGACUCAUCAAGUCUAGGAAGAAAAAUGAAAGUUUGCAACACAAAUCGAUGAGAUGACGUCGCGAGAUUCUCGGGAGAUAAACUACGAUAGCAAGCUCCAAAACAUGAGCUGGUUCUGCUAAACAUGUGUGAACACGCUGUCCCAGACAAACAUGACCACAUAGUAGUCUUAAUAUAAAACACUACCGAGUUCAGGUGGGGAACCAUCAUUGCGGAUAACGAAGUCCUUGCAUAAGUCAUGAUUCUUAAGAAGGAGCUUCUUCUCCCUGAACAAAUCAAUCAGUGGCUUGGUGUGCUAGGGAUACGUAAGCAAUGAAGAUGAUCAGUCUAUCAGACCAUAGAAUACUUCGCACAUGCAUGACUGACUUGGGAUGAUCCCGGAGGGAACAAAACUAACUUUCUCAAAUUCACGGCGGCAACUUGCACCUAAUGCGCGUGAACUUGGAGAGAGUCACUUCUUACAUCCAAGCAUAUUCUUCAUGAACGAAACACGAAGAUAAUGCUUAUAUAGUUUCCAAUACUAGCUGAAGGUUCAACACGAAUCAUGGAAGAGAUAAAAAUGUUGCUGAUGGGCUCAACAACAAUUCAUCUAGGUUUCCAUAUAAGUGGAAUUCCACAAUUAUGUGAACAAGGCGAUAGCAUCGGUCAGACCAAAGGAUAUAACGGUGUAUGCCCGAGGAAACAACCACGGGUAAGACAACAUUACGAAUAUCGUUGGUUCUGAUUUGACUUGACAAUAGCCCAUGCUCAAAUCAGAGAUUGGUUACGAUAAUAGAUCCAACAACUGAUCACAGGGACCAAUCGAUGAAGAUAUCAUCUUUCUUCAACAUACAUACAAGAUAUCACUUAACAUGAACUAAGUCGGACAAGCUUUUAUCUUCCAACUCUCCAAGUUGAUGUAUAGCUUAACCAACUAGCUCAGGGGUAUCCAACACGGAUUCUUGGAGAAAGGGUGGUUUACAAGAAUAAACCAACUUGAUCAUGAACUCAACAUAGCGGUCAGGUGACGACCUAGUGAUACUUCCGAGAAGAUAAUCAGAAAAUCAGGAACCACCGGUAUGUUACUAAGCUCGAGAGAAAUCUUGCUUUUCAGGGCAAGACGAUAUGAUCAAAUGAGCAAGGGAUUGACAAAAUCCUAACUCAACGACCGAAGAGUGCACCGGAAAUAGGGACUAGAUAGCACAAUCAACCUUAGGGUGACGAUUCAAUAAUCAACACGCUAAGAAUGAGGUUAGCGUCCAUUUAACUACCAAGCAACGGAGUUGCUAGCAGUAUUGAUUUCACACACCAUGAUUCACUUGUCAGUAUUCCGGUUGCAACAACACGGAACCGAGGAGCGAAUGAUGAUGGCAAGAAGUAUCACUACUUCAAGAAUCCAUAAGGGAAGGUGCAAUUCUCAUGACGUUCCUGACAUAAAGUGGGUAAUACUUCAGGGUAGAACAGAACAAAAGCUGAAUUAGUAUUUGAUCUGCGAUUUACAACUGCUUUGACCCGAUCCUGGAUAUGGAUGAGGUACGGGAGUUUGUUUCUCCUAGUCAUUCUAGAAUAGAAUGGCUUGACAUACCACUAGAGUAAUAGGCAUCAAUGAACGAAUGCACGCAUACUCUUGACUAUCAAUUGAUAGAUGGGGUCGGAAUACAACUAAGGAGGGACAACCCAAACGAACUUACGAUCUUCUGAGUUGUGGAUGCACAUAUUAGUAUGUCGAGCAAAGAUCAACAUUUUUCUUCCGGAUAACCCAUGCGGAGAAGGUAGGACUGGCAGAUUCACAAUAUAGAAUCGAGAACGCAUCAAGAGCACUCUGGUUGUGAUCUUUCGGUUAAACGAGGAACUUCUGCCAUAAGUAGUUCAUGGUAUUUGGAAGAAGGAAAUACCACGGACCUCGAGGACUAAUGCAAAGGUUACUAAUUUCCUAAAGGAACUAGCAAACACUAUCAUCAUGAGUAAGUGGGGUGAAUCUCGGUUCAAGAACCCAGGAAUAGAAUACCUACUACUAAGUGGCAUCACGGGAUGCUUUCGAGAAUAAAGGCCAGAAUUAUCACACCGGGAACAAAUCAUGGCUAGAUUACUAGAUGAUCCCCUAGGACACCUAGGGUCAUAAUAAUAAUUCCAACAUAUAUGUCGAGGCAAUAGAAUACUUCAACUCAGCAAUUAGUGUGAUUAACCUGGCUCAAAGGAACAUCAAAACCAGAGGGAAAUGAUUUGCAAGUGCAUCAGAUUGUUUAGAAACCUGGGAUGACUCGGACAACAUAACGGCUGUAAAUGCUCAAAAGGAAUUUUGAGACAUUUUGCAAAGAGUUGCAUAGACACUCAACAAUAUCAUAUCAAGGUUCUGGGUCCAACUUAGCAACAUAAUAGGGUAGUAGAACUGAACUAGGCUUAUAAUCAUCAAACCAAUAAGGUACUACUGAUUAGUAACACGUGAACCUGAUAGAGAGAAAAGAUCCUAAUCCUUAACCCCCGGUGGAAGAAUGGACUGACUCAGAUCAGAAUGCCAUGAGGUAAAGAAGUAAAAAGAGCCUUACGUACCAUCCCACAAUCAAUUCCCCUACAUAUAACUAAAGCAUUUCUAGACUCAACAUCGACCAGUUUGGCUUGGUAAUCCUACAGGCAGUCAGGCUCUUAUACCAAAGCUGUCAGGUCCUGAACGAUGUGUACAGGGUUCCGUGACACCAAACGGGCGCCCGGUAUACCCGGCCACGUGCCUACCGCAUCACAGCCCACCCCUCCGGUCAGCGUUGCGCACGGCCUCCAGCAUACUACAAACACCAGAAACUACUUGCAACUCCUGGACAGAGGACAAGGGUGAUUAAGAAGUCGAGCGGGGUCAUAUUUCAGGGCCCAAUGCAUGGUAGUAGCUGAAUCAUGGAUCACAAACACAUAACUCAGUUCCUGAGGGCGGCUUCAAUGAGACAACCCACCAUGUACUCCUACAUGGACUCUCACCGCUACCUUUACCAAAUCGUGUUCACACACUUAGCUCACACUCAGUAGAAUAUGUUCACGCACCUCUGAUUCAUCCCCGGUGAAUCCGACUUAACUCAACUCUAAGCAAUAGCAGGCAUGACAAACAAACAUGAAUGAGUAGGCACAACAGGGCUCAAACAACUCCUACUCAUGCUAGUGGGUUUCAUCAAUUUACUAUGGCAAUGACAGGUCAUGCAGAGGAUAAAGGGGUUCAGCUACCGCAGCAAGUAAUAGAUGAAUCGUUGUUGUCCUAAUGCAGUGAAAGAGAACAGGAGCGAUAGAGUAGCAUUGUAUCGGAAUGAACAAGGGGGUUUUGCUUGCCUAGCACUUCUGAAGAUAGUAUACUUCUUCAUCGGUGUCAUCGAUCACAACAUCGGUACAACGUCUACCGAGGGGGAACAACACCGGCAAACAGAGAAGCAACAUGAUCAAUGCAAUGCACAAUAUGAUGCAUGCUAUGACAUGGCAAUAUGAAUGUGUUUUGGGCUAAUGCAAGCUAGAACAGAUUGAGAUGAGUCCAUUUGAACCAAAGAUUCAAAUGCAAACCCAUUUUAAGAGGUCAUAAUAGUGUAUUAACUUGUUUCACCUAAACAGCAAGGUUAAUGUGUUCUAACAUGCAUGAAACCAGUGCAGAUGGAUAGAUUGGAUUUGUUUGAUCAUUUUUCAUAUAUAAAUUAUUUCAUUCUGAGUUACGGUUAAAUUUCUAUGAAUUUUAGAAGUUUAGAGCAUUUUCUGGAAUUUCCUGUAUAAAAAUAAAUCCAGAAAAUACUUAUUGCGUCAGCAUUGCAUCGCUCUGACGUCAACAGUGAACGAGGCCAGUCCAGGUCAAACCUGACGUGUGGGGUCCACACGUCAGUGACACGGUUAACCAACAGGGUUAAUUAAAAUUAAACUAAACCUAAUCUAGUUUAGUUAAGGCCUGGGCCAACAUGUCAGAGGCUAACCUAACUAAGUUAAUUACAGCUAAUUAAUCUAUCGCUUAAUUAAGCAGGGGCCUGGCCCACACGUCAGUGAGUCAGGGGGAAGUCAAACCCCGGUCAAACGGGGUCAAACCCGCCGGACCUGGUCCACGGCUCAUCGCCGGCGACGACAGAGACGAUGGGGCGGCUCGUGAAUGCUCUACAGGGCACCGUUUUACUCAUGGUUUGUGGCUACGGCUAGCUAGCAAUGCGGCGCAUCUAAUUGAGCGAACGGGAGGAGCUAGGGUGUCCUGAGCCGACGGCGGCGAGCUCCAAGGCGGCGGCCGGAGUUCGGGCAACGACGGGUUCGGUGCCAUAGUGCAUGGGAGGAGGAGCCGGUGGGCGCUACGGGCUCCUGGGGGUGCACUGGGUGUAGUGACGCGCUCGGUUUGGACGGAGGCGAACUAAAAUGACGACGGCAACAAGUCCGGCGCCGGUGAGGUUUCGGUCUCGACGGAAACGAGGGCUACGAUGAGCUAAUGGACAUGUGAGUAGGGGGGUUAGUAGAGGAGCUUACGACGAGUGCAUAGGUGGCCUAGGCGUGCUCGGGGAAGCACCGGAGCGAGCGGUGCAGCGAGAGGGAUCUCCGGCAGCCGGCGACGAAGAUGAUGAAGAUGGCGUCGAUCCAGGGCCUCCGGCGAUGCGUUGCUGUGCGGAGAGGACUAGGGAGGCGUGGCGAUGCUCGUGGACACGUCGGAGAGGCUCGGAGUUGGCUGCGGCUGCGGCUAUGGCGAACGGCGGCGGCGGUGGCGUUCGGUGGUGAGAGGGAGAGAGAGUAGAGGAGGGGGAGGAGCAUGGGGAGAGUGAGAGAGAGCCACAGGGGUUGCGUGUCGACGUCCAGGGCAUCCAGAGCGACGUCGGGAGGCGGUGGAAAGCUGGAGGUGGCCGAGGCGCGUGGGCGUGAAUGGCGGCCACACGCCUCUCGUCCUACUGGCGAGAGGUGGGAGAUGACUGGCAGAUGGGCCUGGUGGGCUGCUACAGUGCCAGGCCGGCCAGGUAAGCGCCAGAUAUUCUCUCUCUCUCUUUUGUUAAUGUUUUUUUAUUUUUCUGUAACUUCAGGGCUUUAUUAAGAAUGCCAGGGCAUUUCCAAAAAUCAUGAAACUAAUCAUGGCUACUGUUUAGAAUAUAUCCAACAGUAAACAUUUUAGUUUAUGAUUAUUUGAGCAUUUAAAAUAUUUUAUAGCACUUAAAUGCCCAAAUGCAAAUACUAUAGGAUUUAAUUUAGAAAUCCAGAAUGGCCUAGAAAUAUGUGCAUGACAUUUGGCAGAGGUUUUCACCGUUGACAGAAAUCAUGAAAUUUUCUAAAGGGCAUUUGGGAUCACUGAAAAUAUAUAUUUUUUGAACCUAGUUGAAUUCAUUUGGUGCUAGGGUUUCAACAAUCCCCAUUUCAAGUUUCAUGAAAUUUAAACAUGAUGCAUGGAUGCAAAGCCACUAGUUACAAGCAAACUCUGGGGCUAUGACAAAAGCACUCCUACGGUAUCGGUAUCCGGGAGUUACACGAUCUCAUGGUCUAAGGAGAAGAUACUUGACACUGGAAAAGCUCUAGCAAACGAACUACACGAUCUUGUGCUAUGCUUAGGAUUGGGUCUUGUCCAUCACAUCAUUUUCCUAAUGAUGUGAUCCCGUUAUCAACGACAUCUAAUGUCCAUAGUCAGGAAACCAUGACUAUCUGUUGAUCAACGAGCUAGUCAACUAGAGGCUCACUAGGGACAUAUUAUGGUCUAUGUAUUCACACGUGUAUUACGAUUUCCGGAUAAUACAAUUAUAGCAUGAAUAAAGACAAUUAUCAUGAACAAGGAAAUAUAAUAAUAAUCCUUUUAUUAUUGCCUCUAGGGCAUAUUUCCAACAACAUAUUCUACGAAGAUCUUUAUCGGUCAAACCACAUAACAACAUAGGUUCUUCCCUUUGUCAUCGGUAUGUUACUUGCCUGAGAUUCGAUCGUCGGUAUCUCAAUACCUAGUUCAAUCUCGUUACCGGCAAGUAUGUUUACUCAUUCCAUAAUGCAUGAUCCCGCAACUAACUCAUUAGUCACAUUGCUUGCAAGGCUUAUAGUGAUGUGCAUUACCGAGAGGGCCCAGUGAUACCUCUCCGACAAUCGGAGUGACAAAUCCUAACCUCGAUCUAUGCCAACUCAACAAGUACCAUCGGAGACACCUGUAGAGCACCUUUAUAAUCCCCCAGUUACGUUGUGACGUUUGGUAGCACACAAAGUGUUCCUCUGGUAUUUGGGAGUUGCAUAAUCUCAUAGUCAUAGGAACACGUAUAAGUCAUGAAGAAAGCAAUAGCAACAAACUAAACGAUCAAGUGCUAAGCUAACGAAAUGGGUCAAGUCAAUCACAUCAUUCUCUAAUGAUGUGAUCCCGUUAAUCAAAUGACAACUGUCUAUGGUUAGGAAACACAACCAUCUUUGAUUCAACGAGCUAGUCAAGUAGAGGCAUACUAGUGACACUUUGUUUGUCUAUGUAUUCACACAUGUACUAAGUUUCCGGUUAGUACUAUUCUAGCAUGAAUAAUAAACAUUUAUCAUGAUAUAUGGAAAUAUAAAUAACAACUUUAUUAUUGCCUCUAGGGCAUAUUUCCUUCAAAAUUUAGAGAUGACAAACAAAGCUUAAGUAGCAUCUGUUCUACUUGAUUGUAGAAAUUUCUUUUACCUGUAGAAUAACUCGGUUGUUAUUUCUUUAAACAUGAAGUGUGAUAUUAACUUAUCUCAAUCUAGGAACACAAAGCAAAUAUUACAUGUGCUUCUAUGGACUCCAAGCAGAUGAGAAAUCAUUUUGUCUAGAAGUUCCUUAGAAGGAUAUAAUAGUUUUGACCUAAACAAAUUUACUAUUGUACUCGUGUCUUACAAAGUUAAAGCUGAAAAUCAACAUAACCAUUGGACCCUUUGAAAGACAAGUGUAGGAAAUAAAUAGUAGGAUAUAAAUUUGAGCAGAAUGUUUGAUCAAAUACUGAACAAAUAACCCAGCAAACUACUAAAACUCGUCUAUUCUACCUUAUAUGAACUGUCACGAUGAUAAAGCUAUGAUUUUUUUUGGCAAAUAAGUAUCCUAGAACUAAUACAAGUUCAAACAAAUCAGCCACAGAUCCCCGAGCCCAUCCAACCAGAUAGCUGAAACUGAAAGAAGCAUUAGCUCGAUUAGAGCACCUACAGCGGAACUUGACAAAUUUGACCCCUGAAACGCCCGCGGACACGCGUGUUAGUAGACAUAAACCAAUCUUUAAGCAGAGCACGUCCGGCAGUCGGAUGCUCCCCAAAGUGUUGGUCCAGUCGCCGGCAAGGUAGAGUAGGGCAUGGGAUACAAGGCGGCUCACGGGACUCGAGGCGCCACCGUCCCCCAUUCCCAACUCUUCUCAGUCGGAACCCGGACAGUGCCGGUGGACGUCAGAUCGAUGAUGGAUCCUUCCUGGGACGAGCCAGCAACAUCCACCACCACGUGGUUGUGCAGCCCGAACUAGUGCACAAUAUGGGGAGCCGGAAAAUACGACUCCGCCUCCGCAACGCCCACCACCGCGAGGGCUGUCGCUGCCUCCCGCACCCGCUGCAUUGCAUGGCAGGAGCGCCGAACUAUGUUUUGCAUCGGGCGACGCCCAUGGUGCGUCCAUGGCCUCAGUGCGCCAAUGGAGGGGCUGCGCGUCCGCCACCCAUUCAAACGCCAGAUGGACCGCACCACCUUUGUGUUGGAAAUAUGCCCUAGAGGAAAUAAUAAAAGGAUUAUUAUUGUAUUUCCUUGUUCAUGAUAAUUAUCUUUAUUCAUGCUAUAAUUGUAUUAUCCAGAAAUCGUAAUAGACGUGUGAAUACAUAGACCAUAAUAUGUCCCUAGUGAGCCUCUAGUUGACUAGCUCGUUGAUCAACAGAUAGUCAUGGUUUCCUGACUAUGGACAUUAGAUGUCGUUGAUAAUGGGAUCACAUCAUUAAGAUAAUGAUGUGAUGGACAAGACCCAAUCCUAAGCAUAGCACAAGAUCGUGUAGUUCGUUUGCUAGAGCUUUUCCAAUGUCAAGUAUCUUCUCCUUAGACCAUGAGAUCGUGUAACUCCCGGAUACCGUAGGAGUCCUUUGGGUGUACCAAACGUCACAACGUAACUGGGUGACUAUAAAGGUGCACUACAGGUAUCUCCGAAAGUGUUUGUUGGGUUGACACCGAUCGAGACUGGGAUUUGUCACUCCGUAUGACGGAGAGGUAUCGCUGGGCCCACUCGGUAGUGCAUCAUCAUAAUGAGCUCAAAGUGACCAAGUGUCUGGUCACGGGAUCAUGCAUUACGGUACGAGUAAAGUGAAUUGCCGGUAACGAGAUUGAACGAGGUAUUGGGAUACCGACGAUCGAAUCUCGGGCAAUUAAAAUACCGAUUGACAAAGGGAAUUGAAUACGUGGUUGCUUGAAUCCUCGACAUCGUGGUUCAUCCGAUGAGAUCAUCGAGGAGCAUGUGGGAGCCAACAUGGGUAUCCAGAUCCCGCCGUUGGUUAUUGACUGGAGAGCCGUCUCAGUCAUGUCUACGUGUCUCCCGAAUCCGUAGGGUCUACACACUUAAGGUUCGGUGACGCUAGGGUUGUAGAGAUAUGAGUAUGCAGCAAACCGAAAGUUGUUCGGAGUCCCGGAUGAGAUCCCGGACAUCACGAGGAGUUCCGAAUGGUCCGGAGAUAAAGAAUUAUAUAUAGGAAGUGCAUUUUCAGCGAUCGGGAGAGUUUCGGGGGUCACCGGUAUUGUACCGGGACCACCGGAAGGGUCCCGGGGGUCCACUGGGUGGGGCCACCUAUCCCGGAGGGCCCCGUGGGCUGAAGUGGGGAGGGGACCAGCCCAUAGUGGGCUGGUGCGACCCCCUUGCCCCACCUACGCCUAGGGUUGGAAACCCUAGGGUGGGGGGCGCCUCCACUUGCCUUGGGGGGCACUCCACCCCCCUGGCCGCCGCCCCCUUGGGAGAUCCCAUCUCCAGGGCCGGCGCCCCCCCAGGGGGCCUAUAUAAAGGAGGGGGAGGGGAGGGCAGCCGCACCCUGAAGUCUUGGCGCCUCCCUCCCCCCUUGCUACACCUCCUCCUCCCGUAGUCGCUUGGCGAAGCCCUGCCGGAACUCUGCUGUAUCCACCACCACGCCGUCGUGCUGCUGGAUCUUCAUCAACCUCUCCUUCCCCCUUGCUGGAUCAAGAAGGAGGAGACGUCACGCUGACCGUACGUGCGUUGAACGCGGAGGUGCCGUCCGUUCGACGCUAGGAUCUCUGGUGAUUUGGAUCACGACGAGUACGACUCCCUCAACCCCGUUCUCUUGAACGCUUCCGCUCGCGAUCUACAAGGGUAUGUAGAUGCACUCCCCUCUCUCGUUGCUAGAUGAACUCAUAGAUUGAUCUUGGUGAACGUAGGAAAUUUUUUAUUUUAUGCAACGUUCCCCAACAGUGGCAUCAUGAGCUAGGUCUAUGCGUAGUUCUCUAUUGCACGAGUAGAACACAAAUCUGUUGUGGGCGUAGAUGUUGUCAACUUUCUUGCCACUACUAGUCUUAUUUUGCUUCAGCGGUAUUGUGGGAUGAAGUGGCCCGGACCGACCUUACACGUACGCUUACGUGACACAGGUUCCACCGACUGACAUGCACUAGUUGCAUAAGGUGGCUAGCGGGUGUCUGUCUCUCCCACUUUAGUUGGAGCGGAUUCGAUGAAAAGGGUCCUUAUGAAGGGUAAAUAGAAGUUGACAACUCACGUUGUGGCUUUUUUGUUGGUAAGAAAACAUUCUUGCUAGAACCCUAUUGCAGCCACGUAAAAGAUGCAACAACAAUUAGAGGACGUCUAACUUGUUUUUGAAGCAAUUGCCUUGUGAUGUGAUAUGGCCAAAAGUUGUGAUGAAUGAUGAAUGAUAUAUUGUGAUGUAUGAGAUCAUGUUCUUGUAAUAGGAAUCACGACUUGCAUGUCGAUGAGUAUGAAAACCGGCAGGAGCCAUAGGAGUGGUCUUAAUUAUUGUAUGACCUGCGUGUCAAUGAUUUAACGCCAUGUAAUUACUUUACUUUAUUGCUAAACCGUUAGCCAUAGUAGUAGAAGUAAUAGUUGGCGAGCAACUUCAUGGAGGCACGAUGAUGGAGAUCAUGAUGAUGGAGAUCAUGGUGUCAUGCCGGUGACAAAGAUGAUCAUGGAGCCCCGAAGAUGGAGAUCAAAGGAGCUAUAUGAUAUUGGCCAUAUCAUGUCACUACUAUAUAAUUGCAUGUGAUGUUUAUUAUGUUUAUGCAUCUUCUUUACUUAGAACGACUGUAGUAAAUAAGAUGAUCCCUUAUAAUAAUUUCAAGAAAGUGUUCUCCCUAACUGUGCGUCGUUGCUAAAGUUCGUCGUUUCGAAGCACCACGUGAUGAUCGGGUGUGAUAGAUUCCUACGUUCACAUACAACGGGUGUAAGACAGUUUUACACAUGCAAAACACUUAGGUUAAACUUGACGAGCCUAGCAUGUAUAUACAUGGCCUCAGAACACAGAGACCGAAAGGUCGAACAUGAGUCAUAUGGAAGAUACGAUCAACAUGGAGAUGUUCACCAAUGAUGACUAGUCCGUCUCACGUGAUGAUCGGACACGUCCUAGUCGACUCGGAUCGUGUAACACUUAGAUGACUAGAGGGAUGUCAAAUCUGAGUGGGAGUUCACUAAAUUAGAUGAACUUAAUUAUCAUGAACUUAGUCUAAAAUCUUUGCAAAAAUGUCUUGUAGAUCAAAUGGCCAACGCUCAUGUCAACAUGAACUUCAACGAGUUCCUAGAGAAAACCAAGCUGAAAGAUGAUGGCAGCAACUAUAUGGACUGGGUCCAGAACCUGAGGAUCAUCCUCAUAGCUUCCAAGAAAGCAUAUGUCCUAGAAGGACCACUAGGUGAUGCACCCAUCCCAGAGAACCAAGAUGUUAUGAACGCUUGGCAGUCACGUGCUGAUGAUUACUCCCUCGUUCAGUGCGGCAUGCUUUACAGCUUAGAACCGGGUCUCCAAAAGCGUUUUGAGAAACACGGAGCAUAUGAAAUGUUCGAGGAGCUGAAAAUGGUUUUCCAAGCUCAUGCCCGGGUCGAGAGAUAUGAAGUCUCCGACAUGUUCUAUAGUUGUAAGAUGGAGGAAAAUAGUUCUGUCAGUGAGCACAUACUCAAAAUGUCUGGGUUGCACAACUGCCUAACCCAGCUGGACAUCAACCUCCCGGACGAGGCGGUCAUUGACAGAAUCCUUCAGUCGCUCCCACCAAGCUACAAGAGAUUUGUGAUGAACUACAAUAUGCAGGGGAUGGUGAAAACUAUUCCUGAAGUAUUUUCAAUACUGAAGUCUGCAGAGGUAGAAAUCAAGAAAGAACAUCAAGUGUUGAUGGUCAAUAAAACCACCAAGUUCAAGAAGGGCAAGGGUAAGAAAAACUUCAAGACGGACGGCAAGGAUGUUGCCGCACCCGGUAGGCCAGUUGCCGGGAAGAAGUCAAAGAAUGGACCCAAGCCUGAGACUGAGUGCUUUUAUUGCAAAAGGAAGGGUCACUGGAAGCGGAACUGCCCCAAAUAGUUAGCGGACAAGAAGGCCGGCAACACUAAAGGUAUAUGUGAUAUACAUGUAAUUGAUGUGUACCUUACCAGUACUCGUAGUAACUCCUGGGUAUUUGAUACCGGUGCCGUUGCUCAUAUUUGUAACUCACAGUAGGAGCUGCGGAAUAAGCGGAGACUGGCGAAGGACGAGGUGACGAUGCGCGUCGGGAAUGGUUCCAAGGUCGAUGUGAUUGCCGUCGGCACGCUGCCUCUACAUUUACCCACGGGAUUAGUUUUAAACCUCAAUAAUUGUUAUUUAGUGCCAAGUUUGAGCAUGAACAUUGUAUCUGGAUCUCGUUUAAUACGAGAUGGCUACUCAUUUAAAUCCGAGAAUAAUGGUUGUUCUAUUUAUAUGAGAGAUAUGUUUUAUGGUCAUGCCCCGAUGGUCAAUGGUUUAUUCUUAAUGAAUCUCGAACGUAAUGUUACACAUAUUCAUAGUGUGAAUACCAAAAGAUGUAAAGUUGAUAACGAUAGUCCCACAUACUUGUGGCACUGCCGCCUUGGUCAUAUUGGUGUCAAGCGCAUGAAGAAGCUCCAUGAUGAUGGACUUUUAGAGUCUGUCGAUUAUGAAUCAUUUGACACAUGCGAACCAUGCCUCAUGGGCAAAAUGACCAAGACUCCGUUCUCCGGAACAAUGGAGCGAGCAACCAACUUAUUGGAAAUCAUACAUACUGAUGUGUGUGGUCCAAUGAGCGUUGAGGCUCGCGGAGGAUAUCAUUAUGUUCUCACUCUCACUGAUGACUUGAGUAGAUAUGGGUAUGUCUACUUGAUGAAACACAAGUCUGAGACCUUUGAAAAGUUCAAGGAAUUUCAGAAUGAGGUAGAGAAUCAACAUGACCGAAAGAUAAAGUUCCUACGAUCAGAUCGUGGAGGAGAAUAUUUAAGUCACGAAUUUGGUACGCACUUAAGGAAAUGUGGAAUCAUUCCACAACUCACGCCGCCUGGAACACCUCAGCGUAACGGUGUGUCCGAAUGUCGUAAUCGCACUCUAUUGGAUAUGGUGCGAUCUAUGAUGUCUCCUACCGAUUUACUGCUAUCAUUUUGGGGAUACGCUCUAGAGACAGCUACAUUCACUUUAAACAGGGCUCCGUCUAAAUCCGUUGAGACGACACCGUAUGAAUUAUGGUUUGGGAAGAAACCUAAGCUAUCGUCUCUAAAAGUUUGGGGAUGCGAUGCUUAUGUCAAGAAACUUCAACCUGAAAAGCUCGAACCCAAGUCGGAAAAAUGCGUCUUCAUAGGAUACCCUAAGGAAACCAUUGGGUAUACCUUCUACUUAAGAUCCGAGGGCAAGAUCUUUGUAGCCAAGAACGGAUCCUUUCUGGAAAAAGAGUUUCUCUCGAAAGGAGUAAGUGGGAGGAAAGUAGAACUCGAUGAAGUAGUACCUCUUGAACCGGAAAGUAGUGGAGCUCAGGAAAAUGUUCCUGUGGUGCCUACACCGACUAGAGAGGAAAUUAAUGAUGAUGAUCACAGUACUUUGGAUCAAGUUGCUACUGAACUUCGUAGGUCCACAGGGACACAUUCCAAACCAGAGUGGUAUGGCAACCCUGUCCUGGAAAUCAUGUUUUUAGACAACGGUGAACCUUCGAACUAUGAAGAAGCGAUGGCGGGCCCAGAUUCCAACAAAUGGCUUGAAGGCAUGCAAUCCGAGAUAGAAUCCAUGUAUGAAAACAAAGUAUGGACUUUGACAGACUUGCCCGAUGAUCAGCGAGCGAUAGGAAACAAAUGGAUCUUUAAGAAGAAGACAGACGCGGAUGGUAAUGUUACCAUCUAUAAAGCUCGACUUGUCGCUAAGGGUUAUCGGCAAGUUCAAGGGGUUGACUACGAUGAAACUUUCUCUCCCGUAGCAAAGCUGAAGUCCGUCUGAAUCAUGUUAGCAAUUGUCGCAUACUAUGAUUAUGAGUUAUGGAAGAUGGACGACAAAACGGCAUUCCUUAACGGGCAUCUUAAGGAAGAACUGUAUAUGAUGCAGCCGGAGGGUUUUGUCGAUCCUAAGAAUGAUAAUAAGGUAUGCAAGCUCCAGCAAUCCAUUUAUGGGCUGGUGCAAGCAUCUCGGAGUUGGAACAUUCGCUUUGAUGAGAUUUUCAAAGCGUUUGGGUUUAUGAAGACUUAUGGAGAAGCCUGCGUUUACAAGAAAGUGAGUGGGAGCUCUGUAGCAUUUCUCAUAUUAUAUGUAGAUGACAUACUUUUGAUGGGAAAUGAUAUAAAACUUUUGGACAGCAUUAAGGCCUACUUGAAUAAGUGUUUUUCAAUGAAGGACCUUGGAGAAGCUGCUUACAUAUUAGGCAUCAAGAUCUAUAGGGAUAGAUCGAGACGCCUCAUAGGUCUUUCACAAAGCACAUACCUUAAUAAAAUAUUGAAGAAGUUUAAAAUGGAUCAGUCCAAGAAAGGGUUCUUGCCUGUAUUGCAAGGUGUGAAGUUGAGCUUGGCUCAAUGCCCGACCACGGCAGAAGAUAAAGAAGAGAUGAGUGUCAUCCCCUAUGCCUCAACCAUAGGAUCUAUUAUGUAUGCCAUGUUGUGCACCAGACCUGAUGUAAACCUUGCCGUAAGUUUGGUAGGAAGGUACCAAAGUAAUCCCGGCAAGGAACACUGGACAGCGGUCAAGAAUAUCCCGAAGUACCACAAAAGGACAAAGGACAUGUUUCUCGUUUAUGGAGGUGACAAAGAGCUCGUCGUAAAGGGUUACGUCGAUGCUAGCUUCGACACAGAUCUGGAUGACUCUAAGUCACAAACCGGAUACGUGUAUAUGUUGAAUCGUGGAGCAGUAAGCUGGUGCAGUUGCAAGCAGAGCGUCGUGGCGGGAUCUACAUGUGAAGCGGAGUACAUGGCAGCCUCGGAGGUAGCGCAUGAAGCAAUAUGGAUGAAGGAGUUCAUCACCGACCUAGGAGUCAUACCCAAUGCGUCGGGGCCAAUCACUCUCUUCUGUGACAACACUGGAGCUAUUGCCCUUGCCAAGGAGCCCAGGUUUCACAAGAAGACCAGGCACAUCAAGCGUCGUUUCAACUCCAUUCGUGAAAAUGUUCAAGAUGGAUACAUAGAUAUUUGCAAAGUACAUACGGAUCUGAAUAUCGCAGAUCCGUUGACUAAACCUCUUCUGCGAGCAAAACAUGAUCAACACCAGAACUCUAUGGGUGUUCGAUUCAUCACAAUGUAACUAGAUUAUUGACUAUAGUGCAAGUGGGAGACUGUUGGAAAUAUGCCCUAGAGGCAAUAAUAAAAGGAUUAUUAUUAUAUUUCCUUGUUCAUGAUAAUUGUCUUUAUUCAUGCUAUAAUUGUAUUAUCCGGAAAUCGUAAUACACGUGUGAAUACAUAGACCAUAAUAUGUCCCUAGUGAGCCUCUACUUGACUAGCUCGUUGAUCAACAUAUAGUCAUGGUUUCCUGACUAUGGACAUUAGAUGUCGUUGAUAAUGGGAUCACAUCAUUAGGAGAAUGAUGUGAUGGACAAGACCCAAUCCUAAGCAUAGCACAAGAUCGUGUAGUUCGUUUGCUAGAGCUUUUCCAAUGUCAAGUAUCUUCUCCUUAGACCAUGAGAUCGUGUAACUCCCGGAUACCGUAGGAGUGCUUUGGGUGUACCAAACGUCACAACGUAACUGGGUGACUAUAAAGGUGCACUACAGGUAUCUCCGAAAGUGUAUGUUGGGUUGACACGGAUCGAGACUGGGAUUUGUCACUCCGUAUGACGUAGAGGUAUCUCUGGGUCCACUCGGUAGUGCAUCAUCAUAAUGAGCUCAAAGUGACCAAGUGUCUGGUCACGGGAUCAUGCAUUACGGUACGAGUAAAGCGACUUGCCGGUAAAGAGAUUGAACAAGGAAUUGGGAUACCGAUGAUCGAAUCUCGGGCAAGUAAAAUACCGAUUGACAAAGGGAAUUGAAUACGGGGUUGCCUGAAUCCUCGACAUCGUGGUUCAUCCGAUGAGAUCAUCGAGGAGCAUGUGGGAGCCAACAUGGGUAUCUAGAUCCCGCUGUUGGUUAUUGACCGGAGAGCCAUCUCGGUCAUGUCUACGUGUCUCCCGAACCCGUAGGGUCUACACACUUAAGGUUCGGUGACGCUAGGGUUGUAUAGAUAUGAGUAUGCAGCAAACUGAAAGUUGUUCGGAGUCCCGGAUGAGAUCCCGGACGUCACGAGGGGUUCCGGAAUGGUCCGGAGAUAAAGAAUUAUAUAUAGGAAGUGCAGUUUCGGCCAUCGGGAGAGUUUCGGGGGUCACCGGUAUUGUACCGGGACCACCGGAAGGGUCCCUGGGGUCCACCGGGUGGGGCCACCAAUCCCGGAGGGCCCCGUGGGCUGAAGUGGGGAGGGGACCAGCCCCUGGUGGGCUGGUGCGCCCCCCUUGGGCCCCCCCUCCCGCGCCUAGGGUUGGAAACCCUAGGGUGGGGGGGGCGCCUCCACUUGCCUUGGAGGGCACUCCACCCCCUGGCCGCCGUCCCCUUGGGAGAUCCCAUCUCUAGGGCCGGCUCCCCCCCAGGGGUCCUAUAUAAAGGAGGGGGAGGGGAGGGCAGCCGCACCCUGAAGUCUUGGCGCCUCCCUCCCCCCUUGCUACACCUCCUCCUCCCGUAGUCGCUUGGCGAAGCCCUGCCGGAACUCUGCUGCAUCCACCACCACGUCGUCGUGCUGCUGGAUCUUCAUCAACCUCUCCUCCCCCCUUGCUGGAUCAAGAAGGAGGAGACGUCACACUGACCGUACGUGUGUUGAACGCGGAGGUGCCGUCCGUUCGGCGCUAGGAUCUCCGGUGAUUUGGAUCAUGACGAGUACGACUCCCUCAACCCCAUUCUCUUAAACGCUUCCGCUCGCGAUCUACAAGGGUAUGUAGAUGCACUCCCCUCUCUUGUUGCUAGAUGAACUCAUAGAUUGAUCUUGGUGAACGUAGGAAAUUUUUAUUUUAUGCAACGUUCCCCAACACUUUGGUGAGGCGGUGAUGGUACACCUAGCGCCGGAUCCAUGCAUCAUUUGGGCGGACGCAUUGGAUUCCCCGCGGAAGGAGUUCGAGUGUUGCCGUUGCCAUCGGGCAGCCUCCUCCCGGGAGCGGUGGAGCGCAAGCUGGAUGGCCAGCUCCUCCUAGGAGCCGCGUGGGAUGAGUUCGGGGUUGACGGAUCUGGAGGUGUAACACUGGGAUCCGCCUCCUGCCAUGCCGAAGAAGGCCAUAAGAUCGUCGAACGGGAGCUUGGGUGGCGGCAUAGAGUGGAGUAAAGUGGCUAGGGUUUGGUCCGGCAAGCGGAUGGGGAGGAAUAUAUGUGGGGUCGGGUGGGCCAGCGUGGACCGGGACCGACAUGGCGGACGCGCCUGGGCGCCGCAUAUUCUUCCUAGAUUUGGGCUGGAUAUCAGGGGUGCUGGUUAGCUUGGGCGUUUGAGGCCCAUCUGGAUAGUUUUUCUGUGACCUGACCGUUCGUCCGGGCGUUUGAGGUGGGUUUGGGACGCCCAGGUGUAAAUGCUCUUAGACCAUGUAGUACCUUGAGGAGGAUGGUGGGUCCAUGGAACAACUACAGCCUCUCCAUUUUGUUUGGGCGCAGGGCGAUAACGGAGUUAUCUCUACUCCUAAAGAGGGAGUCGUUAGUCUCCCUUCCACGGUUUUUUUGUCUUACCUCCCAUCUUUGUUUCAUUUUUUCCGUCUCUUUUUCCACCACCGUCUGUUUUUUCUCAUCUCCACCUGGCAUGUAACGAAAAAAAAUCUGUUUCAUAGGUCGAUUGUCAAGGUCCGAGAGCCGCCGCCACCUUCAUUGCGGACCUCUAGGUCGCCGUCCGGACACACCGCCGAGGUCCGCAAUCACCGACGUUGAGGUCCGAGAGGAGCUGCCGCCCCCUUCAUUCUGGGCCUGGACGCUUCAUGGUCCUCCUACCUCUCCCUUUCCUCUCCCCUUCUCUCCCGCUUCCAUCCUCACUCGCCGCCCCUGCCUCUCNNNNNNNNNNNNNNNNNNNNNNNNNNNNNNNNNNNNNNNNNNNNNNNNNNNNNNNNNNNNNNNNNNNNNNNNNNNNNNNNNNNNNNNNNNNNNNNNNNNNNNNNNNNNNNNNNNNNNNNNNNNNNNNNNNNNNNNNNNNNNNNNNNNNNNNNNNNNNNNNNNNNNNNNNNNNNNNNNNNNNNNNNNNNNNNNNNNNNNNNNNNNNNNNNNNNNNNNNNNNNNNNNNNNNNNNNNNNNNNNNNNNNNNNNNNNNNNNNNNNNNNNNNNNNNNNNNNNNNNNNNNNNNNNNNNNNNNNNNNNNNNNNNNNNNNNNNNNNNNNNNNNNNNNUCUCUCUCUCUCUCUCUCUCUCUCUUGUUUCCUACCCCACUGGUUCUACAAUGCUGGUCGUCGCCUUGGGUUGGCGAACCUAGCUACUGUGGGUUGGGAUUCAAAUGCCACAUCAUCUUUGGGACGCGGCCGUGACGGCUUGGCCUGAUGCCUGCGAAGUAGGGCGAGCAGAGACAACAUGAGACUGCGCCGCUGUGCUGUUCGCCGUGACGCGCUGUCACGCUGUGUAGAUGGAGGAUGCGUGCCCAAGCCUUGUUGUGCCUGUCUUCCCGUGCGGUAGUCGGGAUCUGGACUGGAUCGGGGUUGAGUUCGACACCACCGAACCCCGGCUUCCAGGAGACCAGGCGCCUCCUCUCCUCAUCACCCGUCUCACCAGAGGCAUGUGCAGAAUUCCGUACACCAUCUGCGCAAACAUGGUGGUCGACGACGCUCUGGAUGUGGUCUACGUGAGGACUAGGUUCCAUCAUUAACAUGUACCCUGGCAAGGUAUGUGCUAUGGGAUGUAAACUCUCGAUUUUAUCUUCAUUUUAGUUGCCUUCAUCUCAUGCUUUGUUCGUUCCAUAGGCAUUUGUCAUGAAUCUAUUUUCAGGAGGGUGAUGUUAACGAUUUCAAAAACUUGAUAGCAGGGUAUGGCUAUAGUUAUUGGUCAUGCAUUAUCGCGAGGCUUGACAAGCAUACCAUAAAAUGGUUUUUAUUUAUGCUCUCGUAGGUUAAACCAAUCUCUGUCAUUAUGAAAUUGGCAUAGCUGAACAUGAUCAGGACUUCAGCAGGGCAGGGUCAUUACUUUGGAGUUUCAGCACUCAUAGUUGGUGAGUGCUUAUGUCCUAAAAUUUUGGAUGUGACUAAACAUAGGCUGGUAUGGCUAAUCUUUUUUGCUUUUCUGUCCUUGCUCUUCACGGAAUCUUCAGGUUUACGGAUUGAUAAUUGUGAUCUAUGUUUCAACCACUUCCCAAUGUUUUACUUGAUGAGAAGGUUCUAAUUUUAUUUUAUUUUAUUUCACUUGAUGAGAAGGGUCCAUGUUUCACCGACUUUGUACAAGUGUGUUUGCUUAGCUAGAUUUCUGCCCUUAUUUUCUAUUUGACAUCCCUCAAUCAUUUUCUGCAGAUUCACUUCGUUCGUAUUCUAUAUUGUUGUAAGUGCACCUAGGGAUAUUAUAGUAGUUCUUAUCUGCAGUUUACUACAACUGGUGACCACAUCUCCAUAUUAUUAUCUUUAAAAUGUACUUUCAAAAAGUAAACUAAUUAACGUUAACCUUCCGCUCUGUAGAAACCACAUAAUUUCAACUCAUUAAUCAUUUUUUAGCGGAAAGGCAGUAAUCAAUGAUGGCGAUUUAAACUGUACUCCUUAUAGUAUUGAUAUUCCCCAUGCACCGGUAUGUUCUCGUACAUCCGUGAAACUUCUGAGUCAAAAUGUUAUAUCCUUAUGUAUACAGUUCAUCAUUGGUUGUUACAGAAUUUCCCAGUGGGCACAACCUCAACCCACACCUCCCACCAGGAUCUUCUCUCUGCCGGAGCCAUCCUACCUGCAGCCAGCUCCCCCUCGUACGCCCUGAUCUCCACCUUGUGUGCUGGUCCAUUCAUCAUAGCUAGAAGGUAAUGACUAAUGAGCAUGUCAUCUCUGCCCCUCUCAAUUUCAUCCUUGUGUUGUUUAUUUUUCAGAGAAUGUGGUAUUAUGUAGCCCCUCUCUGUUGAUGAAUUGAAUGUAUAGAUUAUAUACUAGCAAAAGAGCCCGUGCGUUGCAACGGGAUAAUAAAACCGACGAAUUGUACUCGUGUGACUUGAGCUUUGGUUGGUUUCACACGCUUAUACUUCUUAGUUUUCUUGUAAAAUAAUAUGGCGGUAUUUAUACUAUUCAGGGUUGGUUAUCCAUCCGUCAGGUUAUUCAGGGCGUAAAUUUACGGAAAGAAGCAUAUUGUGACGGUGAAUGCGACGGAGUCAAUCCGUGCUUUAUUAUUUGGAAAAGAGAAAUAUGCCUAUGCAUUGCUACGGCUCUAGAAUAAACCUAUACAUGGUCAAAAUACAGGACAGCAACAUGUCUUCUUUUAGUUUUUUUCAAACCAUUAGAAAUAUGUUAGAUUUUACUUAAGUUUAGUUCCCUUAUUCCACCAUAAAGCAUUCCGGUUGAAAAGGAGAUGGCGUCUGUCAUUUACUUUCUAGAAAAACAUAGAGUCGAUAAACUUUCCUGUAUCUUCAGCCAUAGGUCCUUUACUCAUAUUUAAAAAAUUGUAAUAUUUAAUCCAAGCAAAAUUAUAUGAAUUACAGGAAAAAUUGUACUCAUGUGACUUGAGCUUUGGUUGGUUUCACACGCUCAUACUUCUUAGUUUUUUUGUAAAAUAAUACGGCGGUAUUUAUACUAUUCAGGGUUGGUUAUCCAUCCGUCAGGUUAUUCUUGAAGCUAGCUAGUAAUCACCAUGAGUUCAGUUGGCGUUCCAAGUAAUCACCAAGCCAAUCGACCGUGAGCAUCCGGACGUUAGCUGCGAAUGACAGACGGCUGGAUGGGCUAAUGAAGAUUAAACCUCAAUUUUGUACGCGGUAGUGCUGCAGACCUUCUGCAGUGAGACUUCGAUCAGAAGGACUUACCAGACAGGGGCACGGAGGAUUUAGAUAUCCUACUGCAGCUGCCGCUGCUCACCAAGGAGUUGCUCCCGUGCCGCUCGAAGGUCGCCAGCUCGGGGCAGAGCAGGAGCUUAAAGGCCAUGGACACGCCAGACCUGAAGGACGGCAGUGGCAAGGGUGGCGCAGGUGGGCGACGUUGCUCGCGCUCGGGGCGGACGCCGGCGGCGCUCGAUCUUGCCUAGAGCACGGAGGGGACAGGGGAGCAGGGGAAGAGGUAGGCAGUAAACCAGAUAGGAAUGGCACAUGUAUCGCAUCUGCCCUCGGCGGAGCUCCGCUCUGUCGUCAACAUCCGCGACGGACCCCACGAAGCCCAUCAUGUCGGCGUCCUUGAGGAACCGCCCCUGCUUGCCGCGGCCGACCGCAAUUUCGGAGAAAUUGGAGAUGGGGGAUCGUCCGCGGUUCGGCAACGGGUACGGGGAGGAGUCCGGGGCAAAGACUGUUCCGCUCGACCGGCCGGAGGAGCGCAGCCGCUCCGGUGGCCAGAGAUCGAGGGGGUGGCGGCGGUGUCCAACCCCCAACAGGCUGUGUUCUUUUUCUGACGGGACGAAAAAGGGGAAUCCCUUCUCUGGAACCGCUGUCGUUGCUCGACUGUGCUCCAAGCCGCCGCCGCCACCGCCGUCGCCUGAUUGCUCUCUCCCCGUCAACCCCCCCUCUCUCUCGAUCCAGCGACGCGUGUUUAGAUCGAAGCCCCCUGAAUUCCACGACCGAUCUGAUUCUAUCGAUCGAGGCAGCUCUGUUUCGAUUUGUAUAUGUACUUUUUAGGAGGAGUGUCCCGUGUUUGUUUCUGAUAGCCAUCUAUUUGUUUUAUGCUCAACAGGCCCAUUAGCCCUUGAUCUGGCCCAGGGAGUCUAGCGACCCAGGGAGUCUAGCGGGGAAGAGAGCGGGUGCGACCGAUUGGAUGCACACGACGUGGUUGGCCAUCUGAAUUAGUACCACCUUGAAUAUAUUUUAAAAUUAAAAUUGAAAACGUAAAAUCACGGAAAGAAGCGCAUUGUGACGGUGAAUCCGGAGACCCAAUCCAUGCUUUAUUAUUAGGGAGAGAUUACUAAAGAAAUCCGCCUUAAAAGGCGUUCCACUAAAAACGCAGUAGGAUCCUAUUUCAAGUUCCUUGCACUUAAACCGCAAAAGGGAAAGGCAAUUUUCCUAACUUUUCCCGUUAACGCAGAGCAGUCAGAUGAAUAACAGUAGGAUUGUUCAGUUUGUAUGCUCGUCCACUACUUCGGUUUAUUCAGGUUGCAUGAUACAGUAAUUUUGCAAAUGUGUCAGACUAUCUAUUUAGAUUAGCUAAUAGAAUUUAUUUCCACUAUGUGUUGUGCGGAGGAUAGAUCAGCAGGACUAAACAAUAUGUGUCUAACACCAUUUGCACAAUUCCCUUAAACUGCCCGCAGUAGCUGACCAAGUACCACCAAUGUUGUCAUCAGUCUUGAAGGGGAUUCAAAACCCGGUAGGAUCGCACACCGUAUGGCUUGGACAUCGGAAGAAGAUGCAAGAUUGGUAAUGAGAUUACUUGCCUCAGUGCUCAAUUUAUGAUCCUAUUCAUUUGAACUGAUUUACUUGUUUGUCUCAGCUAAUCUAUCCUCAAACGCAGACAACCAUUUGGUCGAAAACCUCAAAUGUUUCCAUCGAGAUAAUAACAAGAAGAACAUCAAGUACUGGGAUGACAUUGUUGUUACAACAAUAGUAAUAGGCCAAGUCACCGGAAGGGAGAUGCUCGUCGUGUAUGAUGGACAUGGUGGCUCGGAGGUGAGGUUAUCUUCUCUUGAAAAUCUUGACCUAGACAAAAGAAAUUAACCUUGAGGCCAUGGGAAGCAGGAAAGCGAAGGUCACGAAUGGCCGCACAAUUUGGUGGUGUUUGUGUGUUGUGCGGUCAAGCCUUUCUACGGGCUCCAUGGUGAUGCAGCAGCAUCACCUUCUUACGGAGAUGAGAUGAUGGGAUGAGGCCGCAUGGUGUUACCUAUUGUUGUUGUGUUAGCUUUGCUGUGUAUGUGUGCGUGUGAGAGAGAUCAGCGGCUGAUUGGGGAUGGUUAUGUUGUUGCUAGAUUAUAAAACAUGUCGUUUAAGUGAAUAUCAACUGUCGGAAAGAAAGCAAUGGUACUGUGAUUCUACUGUUUUAUGCUAGACGUUAAAGAAUACUACUUGCAAGCAGUUAGCGACGAACUGAGGGUUUGCAAGUAGUACUUUUUCCCAGUUGUGCUUCUACUUGCCUGAAUUUAAGUAGGAGAAAUUACCAGUUGUGUUUUUUUGAAAUAAUCUUGAUUUAACUAUGAUUUUCAGAAACUGGUACAGCUUUAACACGGUUCCUUGCUCACUGUGGUACAUUAAAACAAUAAAUUGAGGAGUUUAGAGCCUGCCUAGAGACCUCACAUAGCACCGCCUCAUUUGGCAGCGACAUCAUGAUGAUCUUGUCUGGUCUACUCCAAGUCUCCGCUUGUGGUUUGUGUUGGAAAUAUGAGCAAUUUACCGAAUGAUUUUAUUAACAAAAAUACUAGAUAAAGCAUGACUAAAAUAGGAAAUAUAAAGAAAGUCAUGCAGUCUGACAGAGAGAAGGUAAACAUCGUCUGCAUAAAUGAACUUGAGCUAAACACAUCUAGAACAGACAAUAGAUGAAGUUGCUCAUACGAAACAGAACCUAACAUACGUAGGGCAGAAACUAGAGCCAAGAACUGUAGCAGGACUUCUAACAGAAAGGAGAAGAACACGUACGGCAUAGCAGCAGCAGAAGAGCUGGACUUGGGGUCAGUGUCCUCGCCUGCCAUGUCGUCGAGGAGGUCGUGGACGUCGGGGAAGAAGUCGUCGUCGGGGAAGUAGUCGUCGGCGACCGGAUCGUCUGUGAUGAAGCAGCCAGUAGUCGCGCUGAGCGCUUCCCAAAAACCUUAUCACCCUUCUCCCGUACAUGACUCAAAAGGUGCGGUCUCUGAGGCCUACUGUCCCAACAUGCGGUGCACGCCGCAAGUCGGGAUGAGGAAGACAGCAGCAGCUCAGAGAUGGAACCGAUGGCGAGGGAAGGAGCAGUUCUGGUGCGUAUCUCUGAAAGGAGCGACCUCCCUUUUAUAGGCGCAAGAGAAGGAGGCGAGAGGCUGCGCCGGGAGCUGAAGGGAAUGUGGGAGACGAAACGAACAAGCAGCAGCUGAAGGGGCGCGCCGUUCGGAUUCAGUGUCCAGGCACAGAAAAAAACUGUUUCAGCUUCCGAGUGACCUUUCGUAUACACGUAGUGCGUGGCAAAACUUUAGACAUCGGCUCAUUCCCGCAACCCGCGGCGUGACGAGGCGGGCGGCGGAGGAGGAGCGCGCGUGGAUGUCCCUCUUGUUCUCAUGCUCAUACAAGUGGGGAAGGAGUCUCCCUUAUAAAGAGGUCCAACUCCCUCUAAACUAGCAAGGUGGGACUAAACUUUAGUUCCACCUCUUACCUUGCAUGAAUGGGCUGCGUGGGCCUCUAGGAUUUAUUAGGAAUUUCUGAAACUGCUAUUGGGCUAGGCCCAAAUAGACAAAAAUUCCAGCAGUUUGUGUUCUUUAGGUCUAUGGAAAACACCACGGUGCAUGCCAUUGUCCGUCAUUUCGGGAAAAAUGACCUAGAACAUGCAGAUAACUAAAUUUGGUGAAAGAACUGAAGAAAUCUACUACAUCACAAUAUGAAUUAAAAACAAACAAAAAAUUGGGCAGGACCUCUACAUAAAAAUGGACAGUUAUAGAAAUUUAGCGAAACGGAAAUAAAUCAACGGUUUGCCAAAAAUUUAACGCUUAUAGUAUGAAUCCCAAUAAGGAAAUGAAGACAUCUACUACAUCACAAUAUGAAUAAAACAUAAACAAAGAAAUUUGGCAUGACCUCUGCAUAAAAAUGGACAUAUUAAGUGAUUGAGAUCUGGCGAAACAGAAAUAAAUCAACGUAUCGCCAAAACUUUAGCACUUAUAGUAAGUAUACCUAUAAUGAAUUGAAGACAUCUACUACAACAUAUUAUUUAACUCAGUAUGAACAGAAAUAAUGUACGGAAUAAUACAAUAUAUAUGUGAGACUAUAUAAUUACCUCUAAUAUGAACAAAUUGGUAUUCCUUGUUCAUGGUUACGUAUGUGGCUGCUGCAACUAUAAUUGUUUUGAUGUGUGUGCCUUAAAAACUAUAGAACAAGAAACUACAACUAUAAAUGAACUCUAGUAUGAACAAAUCGAACUCAUUAACGAAUAUGAACACAUUAAUAGCAAUAACCCUAACCCUAGUCGAACGUACGUGUGCGUGUGCGUGGCGGCCGUGGCCGUGGGUGACAAGGAGGAAAGCCGGAGAGGGAGGCGCGGACGACAAUGUAUUACUGGAUGGAGCGGAGGGUGACGGGGCGGAUCGUCGGUGAGGGCGACGGGGCGGCGAAUCGAGGGCGAGGGAGACGCGCGGUGAACGGCUAGGGCGGCGACGAGUAAGCGGUGCUGAUGGCGGCAGCGGACAGGGACGACGACUUGGGUAGCAUGGAUGAGCCAACGGCGUCCGCGACGAGAUGGGGAAGAGUGGGAGUGAGAGAGUAAAUUGGGGUAGGAGGAGAGGGGGCACGUGCGUGUACGUAGGUCGAUUGAGUUUGUCGUAUGCGACCGGUGUGCCAAGCCUCCCAACACGGCUUCUUUGGGGUGGUGGGCGGAAAACCGAUUCGAUUUGGGGCAGAAUAGACAGCUAACUUAGUUGUGGCGGGUAGGGGCCCAUACCCGCCAGAGCUAAUAUCUGUAUAAAAUUUAUUUUUCUGGCGUGCAUUGCUGGCACUAAACUGUGGCCGGCCCAAUCGAGCGUCCGCCACUUUUGCAUUCAAGAACAAUGGCGGCCGAGGCUAACACCCGCCACUGAUCGCAUUCAUCAGGUGGCCAUACUCAGUGGUGCUUACUUGUGGCGGGUGGUGUUCUCCACCCGCCACUGCUACGCAUGUAACUCUGGAGGUCAUGUUGUGGCACCUGCCACUGGUACUUUUGCUAACUAGCAGUGGCAGGUGCUAUGUCCCGCCCGCCAAUCUUUCGAAUUCACCUAUAAGCCCUUUCCCAGUAGAGUAAUAAAGGACUUCUUGACAAGUCCGUGUAGAUUAAAGGUAUGUUAGUAGAUGGUGUAAUAAAUACAUGCUUUAGUGAUCUAAGGAUACAAAUAUGCCACUAUUUAUUUUGUAAAAGGUCGAAAUCAUUCUUAGAAAUCUUAGUAACAACAGUUCUCAUGAACAACUUUGACAAAAUGCAUCAAAUGUUACAAAUAAUACAUACAAACUUAGUUCAAUAAAUUAAUCAAUUGAAGUGAGAACAAACCUAAAUGUACUUAGAGUAAAUCAAUUAAUACGUGUAAAGCCAAUACUAAUCCAAUAUUUAUUAAUAAAUUUGCAUAGAAUUACAACCCUUUGACAUAGAAAGGGAAUAUGAUGAGUCAUGUAUAGAUAACUUGCACAACAUUCCUACCCUUGGCAUAAAAGGAGAAAUUGAUGAGUCAUGUAUUGAUAAUGUGCACAACAUCACUACCCUUGACAUAAAAGGAGAAUUUGAUGAGUCAUGUGUUGAUAACGUGUACAACAUUACUAUCAGUAUGUUCAACUUACCAUCAUAUUAUACAACACUACAAGUUAGUUUUAAAAAGAACAAGAGUCCAGAACGAAGAUCAGAAUACUUGCUUGAUCUAUCUUAACAACAUGCACUAGGACAAAAAUUUAGUCCCACGCAAGCUAUGAAGAUUUGUUUUAUGUAUAACUAUUUGUACAACAUGACAAACUUAGAUCCAAAAGGAAUGCAAUCCAGAUAAUUGUUUGACAUGUAAAGUGAAUAAGAUGAGUCAAUGCCAAUUAUCAAGUUUUCCUCACUCUUAGAUGAUAUGUACAAUAAAAAGACAACUUUGAUGAUCACUCUGAAAUUACGUUUGUAUGUAGUGCCACCAAACACAACAUCCCAAAUAUUAGUUUGAUAAGCAUCAAAUCACUUUUGAAAAAAGAAAGCAAUAAUGAAAAGAAACCUAACCAAGAUAGCUAUAAAAAGGCCUGCAAUAUGUAGACUCCAUACCAUCAUCCAUCCUUCACACACCUAGAGCACAAAUCAGCAAAUCCAAGUACGUAGUAGUUAACGCAAAUCGACCAUGAAGACCUUACUCAUCCUGACGAUCCUUGCGAUGGCAAUAACCAUCAGCACCGCCAAUAUGCAGGUCGACCCUAGUGGCCAAGUACAAUGGCCACAACAACAACUAGUCCCCCAACCCCAACAGCCAUUAUCCCAGCAACCGCAACAAGCAUUUCCCCAACCCCAACAAACAUUUCCCCAUCAACCACAACAACAAGUUCCCCAGCCUCAGCAACCACAACAACCAUUUCUCCAGCCCCAACAAGCAUUCCCCCAACAACCACAACAACCAUUCCCUCAGACUCAACAACCACAACAACCAUUUCCCCAGCAACCACAACAACCAUUUCCCCAGCAAUCACAACAACCAUUCCCCCAGACUCAACAACCACAACAACCAUUUCCCCAGCAACCACAACAACCAUUCCCCCAGACUCAACAACCACAACAACCAUUUCCCCAGUUCCAGCAACCACACCAACCUUUUCCCCAGCCCCAACAACAAUUCCCGCAGCCCCAACAACCGCAACAAUCAUUCCCCCAGCAACAACGACCGUUCAUUCAGCCAUCUCUACAACAACGUUUGAACCCAUGCAAGAAUAUCCUCUUGCAACAAUGCAAACCUGCGUCAUUGGUGUCAUCCCUCUGGUCGAUAAUCUGGCCACAAAGCGAUUGCCAAGUGAUGCAGCAACAAUGCUGCCAAGAACUAGCACAGAUUCCUCAGCAGCUCCAGUGCGCAGCCAUCCAUAGCGUCGUGCAUUCCAUCAUCGUGCAGCAGCAGCAACAACAACAACAACAACAACAACAACAACAAGGCAUGCAUAUCCUGCUGCCACUAUCUCAACAACAACAGUUGGGUCAAGGUACUCUCGUCCAAGGCCAGGGCAUCAUCCAACCUCAGCAACUAGCUCAAUUGGAGGCGAUCAGGUCAUUGGUGUUGCAAACUCUUCCAACCAUGUGCAACGUGUAUGUCCCACCUGAGUGCUCCAUCAUCAGGGCACCAUUUGCCAGCAUCAGGGCAUCAUCAGGGCACCAUUUGCCAGCAUAGUCGCGGGGAUUGGUGGCCAAUGAAAAAAGCAAGAUCUAUACUAAUAGAUAGAUGGAUCAUCGUUACUUAGCAGAUGCACCAAUCGAUGUAACGAUGACAAAUAAAGUGGCGUGCACCAUCAUGUGUGACCCCGACCAGUGCUAGUUCAAGCUUGGGAAUAAAAGACAAACAGAGUUCUUGUUUGCCAGCAUUGCUUGUCAUUGUUCCAUUCACCAUGUAUUUAGAUGUUCAUCCCUAACCGCAGUUCUAGGCUUACACAUCAACAGCUAGUUGCUUGUGCCGGCAGGUUCCUAUGUAAUCUACCGAUUAAUGGUUGACCUAUUAAUCCAGUUUAUAGGCCGAUUGAUCUAUUAAUUGCUGCUCCCAAACUGACCGACCAGCUAUCAGUUACCAUUUUGCUGAACAUUGCACACAGUAAUAACUCAACGUAUUUUAAUGUCUAGAAGUAAAAGGGCCAUUUUAGCAGCAAAACAAGCGCCUGAUUAGGAACCAUCCAUCACUUUAAAUGUUCACCAAGAUAUUUUUGCGUUGGUGCAAUUUUGAGAUUGGUGGCACCGAAACAUUCCUCAAAGCAAUUCUUUAUGGGACUCCAAAGAGGUGAAAAUAAAGUAAAGUUGCCACAUGGUAAAAUAUAAAUCAUGCGGCGAGCAAGAGAAAAUAUUGAGUUACGAUAGCAAGCGCCAAACAUGCCAUUAAACUCUUCAUAUGGUUUCGUGCAGAGAGGGGGGAUUUAGAGAUGACAAACAAAGCUUAAGUAGCAUCGGUUCUGAUUGUAGAAAUUUCUUUUACCUAUAGAAUAACUCGGUUGUUAUUUCUUUAACAAUGUAGUGUGAUAUUAACUUAUCUCAAUCUAGGAACACAAAGCAAAUAUUACAUGUGCUUCUAUGGAUUCCAAGCAGAUGAGAAAUCAUAUUGUGUAGAAGUUCAUUAGAAGGAUAUAAUAGUUUUGACCUAAACAAAUUUACUAUUGUACUCGUGUCUUAGAAAAUUAAAGCUGAAAAUCAACAUAACCAUUGGACACUUCGAAAGACAAGUGUGGGAAAUAAAUAGUAGGAUGUAAAUUUGAGUAGAGUGUUUGAUCAAAUAUUGAACAAAUAACCCACAAACUACUAAAACUCAUCUAUUAAUUCUACCAUAUAUGAACUGUCACAAUGAUAAAGCUAUGAUUUUUUUGACAAAUAUGUAUCCUAGAACUAAUACAAGUUCAAACAAAUCAGCCACAGAUCCCCGAGCCCAUCCAACCAGAUAGCUGAAACUGAAAGAAGCAUUAGCUUGAUUAGAGCACCUACAGCCUAACUUGACAAAUUUGACCCCAGAAACGCUCGCGGACGCGCCCGGUAGUAACCGGUCACGCCUAAAAUAUUUCAUUCUACAACCAGAUACCUCAAAUUAGAAACCUCAAAUCCAUAUUAUUACAUGCAACAUAAAUCGAUCUUUAAGCAGAGCACGUCCGGUGAUCGAAUGCUCUCCGGAGUGUUGGUCCAGUCACCGGCAAGUUAGAGUAGGGCAUGGGAUACGAGGCGGGUCACGGGACUCGAGGCGCCACCGUCCCCCAUUCCCAACUCUUCUCCAUCGGAACCAGGACGGUGCCGGUGGACGUCAGAUCGAUGAUGGAUCCUUCCUGGGAUGAGCCAUCAACAUCGACCACCACGUGGUUGCGGUGCCCGGACUAGUGCACAAUAUGGGGAGCCGAAAAAUACGACUUUGCCUUCGCAACGACCACCACCGCGAGGGCUGUCGCCGCCUCCCGCACCCGCUGCCUUGCAUGGCAGGAGCGCCGAACUAUGUUUUGCGUCGGGCGGUGCCCAUGGUGUGUCCAUGGCCUCAGCACGCCAAUGGAGGGGCUGUGCGUCUGCCACCCAUUUGAACGCUAGAUGGACCGCACCACCUCUGGUGAGGCAGUGAUGGUACACCUAGCGCCGGAUCCAUGCAUCAUUUGGGCGGACGCAUUGGAUUCCCCGCGGAAGGAGUUCGAGCAUUGCCGUUGCCAUCGGGCAGCCUCCUCCUGAGACCGGCGGAGCGCAAGCUCGAUUGCCAUCUCCUCCUAGGAGCCGCGUGGGAUGAGUUCGGGGUCGACGGAUCUGGAGGUAUAACACUGGGAUCCGCCGCCUGCCAUGCCGAAGAAGGCCAUAAGAUCGUCGGACGGGGGCGGCAGGGAGUGAAGUGAAGUGGCUAGGGUUUGGUCCGGCAAGCGGAUGGGGAGGAAUAUAUGUGGGGUCGGGUGGGCCAGCGUGGAUCGGGACCGACAUGGCGGACGCGCGUGGGCGCCCCAUAUUCUUCCCAGAUUUCGGCUGGAUAUGAGGGGUGUUGGUCAGCUUGGGCGUUGAGGCCCGUCUAGGUCAUUUUUCUGUGACCUGGCCGUCCGCCGGGGUGUUUGAAGUGGGUUUGGGACACCCGGGUGUAAAUGCUCUUAGACCAUGUAGUACCUUGAGGAGGAUGGUGUGGGUCCAUGAAAGAACUACAGCCUUUCCAUUAUGUUCGGGCGCAGGGCGAUAACGAAGUUAUCUUUACUCCUACAAGGGGAGUUGUUAGUCUCCGUUCCAUGGGUUUUUUUGUCUCACCUCCCAUCUUCGUUUCAUUUUUUCCGUCUCUCUUUCACACCGUCGGGUGGAGCUUAUGUGUCAUACUCCGUGACCUUUCAUUAGUUUUCUAGAGAGAAUCCUACUCUCAUAGAUUGCGACGUUUAACAAUCAGACUCAUAUAGGUGUGUUCUUCAAAAGAUGUUCUGCAGGACAACAUCUCUCCUUCAAAAAGCCACUUAGAACACAUUAAGAUAUACAUCAACCUACCAUGCAGAUUAGGAGAGUAUUGCAUCUUCAUGGAGUGGUAUUUUAACAAUAAGGAUACACUACUAGGGAAAAGGCUAGCAGCAGCGCGGGUUUUUGGUGUAUCAGUAGCGCGGGGUGGGGCGCUACUAAUAAGGCGCUACAGCUAACAUAUAGCAGUAGCGCGUGGUCACCGGCGCUACUGCUACACAAGUGUAGCAGCAGCGCGGUUACUGGGAGCACGCUACUGCUAGUAGCUCUAGCGCCCUUUGCAGCAACGCGCUACUGCUAUAGAGGCGCUGCUGCUAACUUCUAUACACUCGCUACUGCUAAUUUAACAGGUUUUUUGUUUUUUUGGGCAUAUUUGUUUUGUAUUUGAACAGGCUUUAUAGAAGAAUCUUUAGCACAUAGAAAUGUCAUCAUGAUACACAUACAAAUGCCUGCGAGACCACGAAUAUAAUCAUAGCAUAUACAUACAAAUAGUCUCAUCAUAAUCAUCAUCCAACACAAAGUGGUCUCUCGUCAUCAUCUCGAAAAUAGCGAUACAAGUCCUUGAUUACUUGCAAAUACAUUGUCAUCCAUCUAAACAAUGGUAUACGCGAGAAGAGCUAUCACUUUGAGAACAUGAGUUCGUAUCCCUCUCUCGCAUUAGCGUGAACCUAAACUAACUACUGCCUGUCGCUCGGAAACCGGAAACCGGCAACACCUGGGUCUGACACUCCGGUCACUCAUCGUAUAUAUACUCCUGGCGUAGCACUUCUUCGCCAUCGAUGAUCUAUGCACCUGCAUCAUCACAUGAGUAGAUGAUAUGCAACAUAUAUAGUUGAGCAACAGAAAGAGACAGACUUGACAAAAAUAGAAACAACGUAUCAUAAGCAUAAAUAACAAAGUUCAUCAUAACCAAAAUGCCCUAACUAGAGUGAUCUUCGCUAGUCGAGGAGGAGGACGGUUUAAUUACAUCACAAAUAAAGUUUUACUGCGCAUAACUCAAAGUUUUGUCAUACAGAAAGUAUGGAGUAAACAGACACAUUGUCAUAUAUUGACAAUCACUCCAACAUGCCGUGCCAUCCAUCGAGGUCAGGGAGAUAGUCCCCGAGCUUAGUGAAAGGCUUCAUGUCGAGACGCUGAGAGGCUAUCCAUGUUCGGACGUCUUCCCACAACAUUUUUCCUCCGUAGAACAUCCCUGUUUUUCCGACGACCUCUUUCAUGAUGAUUUGGGCAAGUUCGCGUUGGAUGUUAUAGAACUCAGCUCGAAGUCGAUGAUCCUCGAUAUCUCCUAUGUCCUUUGCCCAUUGCAGAAUAUGGGCAUCGCCAGAUCUAGGUGACAUGUGAAGGUUCUGGUGAUCCCGUUUGUACUCCCGCAUGUGGUGUAGGACAUAGAAUCCACCAUUAAGAGAAUCGUUCGGUUGUUGGAUGCAGCAGAAGUCGGUCUUAUGGCUGAAGGCGGCCCUGCCGCCCCUUCUCUUCUUGUCCCUAACCUCUCCACCCCUUGCUUGGUAGUAAAACAUAGCACUGUCGAGAACAUCUUUGAUGUGGGUGUAAUCCUUUUUGUGAAUGUUAUUCGAUGAGUCCAAGUAAAGAGCAUGGGAGAAUCGGGGGUAGAGGAUGAUGAGGACGGCGCGCCCGCCGCUGCGCAAAAUAAGUACACCUCAAAUUAAUUAGCCUUCACCGUGCAAAUGAAUUAUUGAAAUCGAAGGAAGGAUAGCAGCGCGGAUGACUUACACGGGAUGAUAAGGCACGAGAAUCGCCUCCUUGUCCUUAUUGGCGAGCAUGAAACUAACGAUGUAAUUCCUCGCGUAUUCACGCUGCUCUGCACAGACUCCCAAGAAGCUCUCGUGCAUGUAGUACGGGUCAGUGACACAGAUAUGACGUAUCUGCUCAACCCCAAUGAUGUAGUUCAUGUGCAAGGCAUAAAGGCGGACAAAUGUAAAAUCCAGCUUCUUCACGUGAAACAUGUCGAAUAUGUAAUCGAAUCGGAGGAAGAACUUAUCCGCAGCGAAGCUGUCGACGUAUGACAUUUUCCGCGGAACGUUAUCCACGUAGAGUGGGUAUCCUGGAUCUUUCGAGGCAAUGAGGCAUUUCUCUACCCGUAGCACAUCAUCAUGAAGUCUCCUUAGAUCGCCGAAUCUGGCCCGUAGCGCUGUUGCAGGUAGGAUUGGUUGACCGGGGAUAUGCCAUUUAUCCGCAUCGGGGAUAUCUAGACGGUCCUGAAGCUGAGGCUGCUGAGGCGGCUGGAUCAUAGAAUCAACUUUUUUUCCUUUCCUCGCUCUCUUCCUAGACUUCUUUACUACCGGAAAGUCGUCAAUAACACAUUGAGACGGUAAUUCAGGCACCGACUCAUGAUGCUCAAACCCUGAGGAGGCGCCAGUAUAGACAUACUGUUCAGCGCCAUCGUCAUCCUCAUCCUCAUCCAUGGCGACGUCAUCAGCGACUAAUGGAGCCUCCUCCUUACCCCGUCCGCUAUCACCCAACCCGACACCCAACGCUAAUUGGGUAGGUGGGGUGUUGAUGUUCAUACCUUGCUGAGACUGCGUGCUCGUGGGUGUGCUCCCGGCCGCCUCCAGACGAAGCAGACUCUUUGGCCACAACAGGACCUACCCAUUGCAACAAUCACCAAGCCGCUGCGGUGUCUCCUCGUCAUCCACCAAUAGUGUUGGAGGAGGCAAAUUCUCGUGGCCCGGUUCGACACUGGCCAUGGAAACCUUGAAGACGUUUGGGGGAAUCGGCCGGCUGUGGAACAAUGGUUCCUUCGGCUUCAUUAUCGUCGCCUUCCCCAUGGCCACCUUCUGGUCCCCGAUGGUGUACAAUAUGGUGCGCGGGGUUUCGUCGGCCUGCAAAGAGAAGUCUGCGACGUGAGACAUUCGAAAGGCAACGAAAACGGGAGAUUAUACAUUUAUAUUGAAGGGGGCCGGUGUGACAGAUACCGUGAGGGCGUCGAGCUCAGCCAAAGACAAAGCACCGCCGAGCACGUCCGGUGCGGGAGCCGGUGCGGGAGCAGGUGCUCCCAAGAAGUCAGCAAGGGGAAAGUCCUCUGCAUUUUUUUCUGGAUUUUUCCUUGUCCAAGUGAUAACGCCCGUCACCAAGGAAGUAGACAAAUCUGCAACCGCCUGUUUUGCGGCAGCUACCGCUGUUGCGACUGUCUGAGAUGAUUUCUUCUCAACCGCAAUCUCAACCUUCUUGUCGAUGUUUUUUUCAGUUAACCUCCGUCUUUCCUUUCUCUCCUCUGUGGUCUCCCGGUAGUACUUCUUCCACGUGGCGCCGUCUCCGACACCGUGCACGCGUCCAUACGAUGGUCGAGUAUCCAUCGGUUGUCGUUUCAAUAUGUUCAACGUCCGGUUGAAUGGAGUGUCCCACUUGGGCCUCGCCAAUGCCUCAGACGGCGAGUCGUUUUCGACCGCAAUCCGGUGCUGCUCUCUCUGCAAAAGGCACAAGGAUCGUUUACAAAUAUGACUAACGUGUGCAGUCGAAUUGAUCAGAAACUAAAAUUACCAGCAGUCUCAUGAACUCCGUAAUGACCGGUGUUGUCUCAUAAACCUUCUUCACUGGGUCCCAACGGUGCCGAGCCCUCAGGACGUCACGCUCCUGCGGGACAGUGAAAUCCGCCAAGGGGUCUGGGAUGCCCAGACUCGCGGCUUCCGCGUCCUCCUUGGCCCAUUUGGACCUCUUUCCGCCGUAACCACGCUUCCGAGGUGGUGGCUCCCAAUGUUCCUCUUUUGAAGCCCCUUCAUGUACUUAGACUUUUUUUGGCAGCUUCGGCCUCGCAAGCCUCCUUGAAUAUUUGAAACUGCUCUUCCGUGAUUGUCAGAUUAUCCUUUACAAUCUCGGAGUAGGGUUCCCCGUCGUUGAUCUUUGCUUUCACUCAAUUUUUCCAGGCGGCCAACGCGUCGCUAAACUUGGUCAUGGCGUGUUUGUUUAUCUUCUUCAUUGCGGGGUCCUCGUCUGGAUCUUCAUAAUCCUUCUCAUUCCGGCCCGGGAACAAGAAUAUCUGGUGAAACUUCUUUAGAAGGGAGCUCCUCAUAUUUUCUAUCUUCUAUAGUUUCUCAUCAUUGAUGGUGGCGGUUGUCCGUAUGAUGCAGCCUAUUUGAUUGCCGUAGCACGCGCGCGCUUCCUCGGGCGCCUUUGGCUCAAAAUUGCCGUCGUCCACCUCUGUGACCACCAGUCUAGUAGUCCUGAGUUUGUUAGGAACCCGUUGCUUCUUUGCGUUCGGUUCUACACCAGCUCCGCUCCCCGAGACAGCACCGGUCUCAGCGCCGCUCUCGAUGCCGGUCUGAAUCUCAGCGCCGGUCUCAGUCUCAGCACCGGUCUGCGUGUCGGUCUCAGUCCCCGAUGCCACUGGUGGGCCCAGCAACAACAUCGGUUGAUCGUCGGUAAGGCUAAAAUAUUCAUCUGCCACCAGGUAGACGUCGUCGCAAUCACCAGAACCCUGUCCUUCAUCGUUGCUAGCCAUGUUUCCUAUCAUUAAAUCUAGUCAAUUAAUUCUAGACCUAAUAAAAUGAAUAAUGACAUAAAAAAGGACUAUUGUUUUGCAGGAAUGUUGACUCCUUCCUGGUGCGGAAAAUCCCGGCACUCGAUAUGUCCUAGUUUGUAGCACAAGUCAUGCCGAAAUUCACGGAAAAUUUUGGCAUGGCCUUUGCUAAAAAGUGGACAAAUCGAGAACCUGAAAUUUGUCGGAACAGAAAUGAAUCAACAUUCCGGCAAAACAUAGGCCACUCAGCAUCAUUCCCUGGAAACAACAAAGCCACUUGGGCACAAUCGAACAACUUCAAUGAAAAGAUAUAACAUGAGCAAACACUAUUGAGGAAUUUGCAUAUAACAUGGCCACUUCAAUGAAAAGAUAUAAUCAACAAUAACGGAAUAUGCAAAUGAACAUCAAUGACAUAUAGCUACUGUUCUGUUUGACCAAGUUUUUGAAAAGAAAAACAAUUCUGUUUUUUGUUUAUAGCUAAAUGCCAUAGCUACUAUUUUUUAUUUAUAGCUAAAUACUUUUGUUUUUUGUCUAAAGCUAAAAGUCUAGGAACUACAUUUUCUCUAACCCUUUUGACCUCACCAGAAUUUUCACAGCAAGACCUUAGUACCUACACCCAAUUUCUUCAAAAAUAUUCAGGUCCAUAGUCCAAAUAAUUCAAAUUUCAUUUGAAUGAAAUUUGGAACAAAUUCAGGUCCGUAGUCAAAAUAUUUUUUUAUAGCUAAGUGUUUUUUGUUUAUACCCUCUGUUAAUUUAAAUCUAAAUGCUACUAUUAUUUAUAUACCCUCUAUUAGUUUAAAGCUAAAUGGAAUUACUGUUUAGGAAUUUUCAUAAAAAUUGCCCUAGCUAAUUUCCUAAAAAAAUUGCAAAUCAUUUUUCCUAAAUGCUAUAAAAUGCCUACUGCCCUAAAAAAAUCUAGGGUUCAUAUGAACACCUAGGGUUCAUAUGAACAUCAACACAGUAUCAACAUAUAUAUAUAUAAUUGCCCUAGCAGAGAGAAAUAGGAGGGUAGGGACAGGAGAGGCAUAGCCUUACGGUCGGCGUUGAGGGCAGGCUCUGGCUCGGGCAGCGGCGGUGAGGUCAAGGGCGGCGGCGGCGAGCUCGAGGGAGGCGACAGUGAGGUCGACGGUGACAGCCUCGGGUGGCGGCUGUGAGGUCGAGGGGGCGGCCUCGGGCGGCGGCCUCGGGCGGCGGCAGUGUGGUCAAAGGCGGCGGGCGGCGGCGGUGUGGUCGAAGGCGGCCUCCGGCGGUGGCGGUGUGGUCGAAGGCGCGCGGCAGGGCAACGGCGGCGAUGAAGCAGUUGGGGGACAGGGGGGAGUAGAGAGGGGGGAAAGGACUUAGCAAAAUUUUGAGCCAGGGCCGCCGGGAUUUGAGUCAAACUAGCAGCAGCGCGUUUUGACGAAACGCGCUAUAGCUAAGAUAGCUAUAGCGUGUUCCAGAGAAAUGCGCUACAGCUAACCCUUUCUGUUUUCUUUCUCUUUUUAUUUUGUUUUCUUUACAUUUUCUUUUUUUCAUUUCUCCUUUUUCUAUUUCUUUCAUUUUCAUUUACUUUUCUACUUAAUUUUCUAUUUAUUUUCCUUUACAUAGCAGUAGCGCUGUAAAGAAGAAACGCGCUGCUACAAUGUUUUUAACAGUAGCGUGCUUCUGGGAGAAGCGCUGCUACUAUUCCUAGCCUACCGGCACCAGUGAGAGAAUUUUAGUAGUAGCGCUUUUUUGUGGAGAAGCGCUACUACUAAAAUAAUGAUUGUAGCGUGGUUUUGCAACAAGCGCUACUACUAAGUAGCGCUAGCGCCGAGUUUUGACCAACGCUACUGCUAUACCUCUGUGUAUAGCAUUUUCCCUAGUAGUGAUACUCUCCUCUCAGUUGACCAACAGCUUGUCUUCCACAUCUAAUUCACGGGAUCUCCGAUCACAAAGAAUGGGUUACCACUGUGGACACCUCAUAUUGUGGGUCUCAUUCCCAUCUCCAUCGAUGCAUUAUCUAUCACAUUACGUGAUAGACCCUUAGUAAAAGGAUCUGCCAGAUUUUUAGACGUUUGGAUAUAAUCCAAUGCAAUAACUCUCGAGUUUUUCAUUUUUCUGACAGACUUUAACCUUCUCUGAACGUGUCUUGAUGACUUCAUGUUAUCCUUUGAGCUGCUCACUUUAGUGAUCACAGUUUGAUUGUCACAGUUCAUCCGGAUACCCGGUACAGGUUUCUCAACUACCGGUAAGUCAUUCAAGAGCCGACGAAGCCAAUCUGCUUCGACCGUAGUUGUAUCUAGUGCUGUGAGUUCUGCUUCCAUUGUUGACCUCGUUAAAAUGGUCUGCUUGCAAGACUUCCAAGAAACAGCGCCACCUCCAUGAGUGAAUACAUAACCGCUCGUGGCCUUUAUCUCAUCAACAUCUGAGAUCCAGUCUGAGUCAAUAUACCCUUCAAGCACCUUUGGAUGCCUAGUGUAGUGAAUUCCAUAAUUUGCAGUGCUUUCAAAUAACGCAAAACUCUCUCUAGAGCUUUCCAAUGCACAUCUCCUGGUUUUGAGACAAACCGGCUCAGUUAGCUAACAGCAAAAGAGAUGUCAGGUCUCGUAGCACUGGCUAAGUACAUAAGCGAGCCAAUAAUGUGUGAAUAUUCCAAUUGGUCUCUAGCAAUUCUUCGAUUCUUUCGAAGCAACACACUAGCAUCAUAUGGUCUUGGAGAGGGCUUGCAGUCACUGUAGCCAAAGCGACUCAAGAUCUUUUCCCCAUAGUGAGACGGAAGCAAUGUAAUCCCACCAUCAUCAUCUCUCAACAACUUGAUGUUCAGAAUGACGUCAGCCACUCCUAAAUCCUUCUUCUCAAAACAGCGAGAUAGGAAAUCCUUGACCUCCUUAAGAACAUUUAGAUUUGUUCCGAAAAUCAGUAUGUCAUCAACAUACAAGCAAAGCAUAACUCCCUCGCCCCCACCAUGGCGAUAGUACACACAUUUGUUAGCUUCGUUCACAACAAAGCCUGCAGCUGUUAAAGUUCUUUCGAACUUCUCAUGCCACUGUUUGGGUGCUUGCUUGAGUCCAUACAAAGACUUCAGCAACUUGCACACUUUCCCUUCCUAACCAUCUAUUACAAACCCAUCUGGUUGUUCCAUAUAAAUUUCCUCAUCCAACUCUCCAUUUAGGAAAGCAGUCUUAACAUCCAUUUGAUGAACGAGAAGACCAUGUGAGGCAGCUAGUGAAAGUUUAACUCGAAUAGUGGUCAGUCGAGCCACAGGUGAGUAAGUAUCAAAGAAGUCUUCACCUUCCUUUUAGGUAUAACCCUUUGCCACGAGCUGAGCCUUGUACUUUUCAAUAGUACCAUCAGGCCUAAGUUUCUUCUUGAAUACCCAUUUGCAUCCUAUAGGUUUGCACCAUAAGGACGAUCAGUUAUCUCCCAAGUUUCAUCCGCCAAGAUGGAAUCCAUCUCGCUACGAACCGCUUCCUUCCAGUAGUCAGCAUCUUCCGAUGCAUAGGCCUCCAAAAUAGAACUGGGAGUGUCAUCUAUGAGAUACACAAGAAAAUCAUCACCCAAGGACUUUGCUGUCCUCUGUCUCUUACUCCUAGUAGGAACUUCAUUGUUCUCCUCCACAGGCCUUUCAAAGUGUUCCAUCGAAAUGGCAGGUUCAGUAAUUGUAACUGGUUCCUGAUUCGAUGAACUAGGCAUCUCCUGAUUAGAUGAGGUAGCCAUAUCCUUCAUGGGAAAGAUAUCUUCAAAGAAAGUCGCAUCAUUCGACUCCAUGAUCGUACUGACAUGCAUGUCAGAUACCUCAGAUUUUACAACCAAGAAUAUAUAGCCAAUGCUAUGAAAAGCAUAUCCCAGGAAAACACAAUCCACAGUCUUUGGUCCAAGCUUCCGCUUCUUUGGAAUUGGAACAUUGACUUUCGCCAAGCAACCCCAUGUUCGCAGAUAAGAGAGUCUUAACCUUUUCUUCUCCCAUUCCUCGAAUGGAGUUAUCUCUUUGUUCUUUGUGGGAACUCGAUUUAGGACAUGACAUGCUGUCAAUAUCGUCUCCCCCCACCAUGCCUUGGAGAGACCCGAUGUGCAUAACAUGGCGUUAACGAAAUCAGUUAGAGUACGGUUCUUUCUUUCGGCCACCCCAUUUGACUGAGGUGAGUAGGGAGGCGUCCUCUCAUGGAUUAUACCAUGUUCCGCACAAAAAGCAUCAAAUUCAUUGGAAAAAUACUCUCCACCACGGUCAGACCUAAGCCUCUUGAUUUUUCGAUCAAGUUGGUUUUCCACUUCAGCUUUAUAGAUCUUGAAAAAGUUCAAAGCCUCAUCCUUAGAUUUCAGAAGAUACACAUGGCAGUAUCUAGUGGAGUCGUCAAUUAACGUCAUGAAAUAUUUCUUUCCACCUUUUGUCAAAACACCAUUCAUUUCACAUAGAUCUGAAUGUAUAAGUUCUAGUGGUGCAAGAUUUCUCGUCUCCGCAGUCACGUGAGACUUACGAGGUUGCUUAGCUUGCACACACACUUGACACUUAGAUCCUUGACAGUGGUGAAACUAGGGAUUAAGUUCAACUUCGCUAGUCGCGACAUGCAACCAAAGUUAACAUGACAAAGACGUGAAUGCCACACAUUUGAUUCACUAUUGUUGCAAAUAUGAUUAACAACUUUAUUGCAAAUGUCUGAUAAGGAUAAACGAAACAGGCCUCCUGACUCAUAGCCUUUACCAACAAAGGUCCCAUACUUGGAUAUUACAAAUUUAUUCGACUCAAAGACAAGCUUAUAGCCAUCUCUACACAGAAGAGAUCCGCUAACAAGAUUUUUAUUGACGGAGGGGACAUAAUGCACGUUCUUCAGCCGCACGAUCUUCCCUGAAGUAAACUUCAGAUCAACCAUGCCAACACCACGAACAGAAGCACUUGAACUGUUGCCCAUCAGCACGGUUGAAGUCCCUGCGGUCUGAUAAGAUGAAAACAUGGAAAUAUCACCGUAUACAUGCACAUUAGCACCCAUGUCAAUCAACCAACCAGGAGAAUGACAUACUGAAAGAAUAGUGGGAAAUAUACCAUACCCAACAUCUUUCAUGUCAAUGUCUCCGAUGACAACAUUAGCGGUCUUGCCGCCUUUCCCAGGAUGACGCUUGUCAUAGCGAUUAGGACAACUAGGAGCCCAAUGAUCAGGAUCUCCAAACACAUGACAAGCACCUUUCUUAUUGUCAUUCUUCUUCUUGAAGUUCAUGUGCUGCACAGCCUUGUUCUUCCCAUCGAACUUUGCUUUACCAUCAAACUUGCCCUUGUUCUUGAACUUGUGGGACUGGAAGUUCUUCUUCUGUACCAGAUUGGCACUAGAUCCUCCCUCAAUACCUCGAGCACAUGUGUCCUUUGCUCUCGCCUUUUCUUCCACAUAAGAGUACCAAUGAGAUCCGGGAUGGAAAACUCCUGUCUCUUAUGCUUCAGUGAGGUAGCAAAGUUCCUCCAUGAAGGAGGAAGCUUAGUGAUGAUACCCCCGGCAACAAACUUGUCCGGUAAGAUACAAUUGAAGUGCUCAAGUUCUCUAGCAAAAGACUGUAUCUCAUGAGCCUGCUCAACCACGGAGCGCUCUUCAGUCAUCCUGUAAUCAUAGAAUUAUUCCAUGAUGUACAGCUCAGUGCCGGCAUCCGAGACCCCAAACUUGGCCUCGAGUGUGUCCCACAUAUCUUUUCAUUGUCAAUUGACGCAUAAGCAUCAACUAUGUUCUCACCAAGAACACUCAAAAGAGCAGCCUUAAACAAGGUAUCCAUUUUCUGGAAAGCUUGUGCCUGUUGGGCAUCUUGCUCUCCUUCGGGUUUGCCAAGAGUGGCAUCAUAGAAACUCAUGGUUUGAAACCAUAAGACUGCUCUCACACGCCACUUCUUAUAGUGGAUACCCUCAAACAUAGGAGGUCUCAUGGAAGCAGCAAAAUCACUCGGGGUAAAUUGCCUAUAAUAAGGUUUUUGGAUUGUUGGAAAUAUGAGCAAUUUACCGAAUGAUUUUAUUAACAAAAAUACUAGAUAAAGCAUGACUAAAAUAGCAAAUAUAAAGCAAGUCAUGCAGUCUGACAGAGAGAAGGUAAACAUCGUCUGCAUAUAUGAACUUGAGCUAAACACAGCUAGAACAGACACUAGAUGAAGUUGCUUAUACGAAACAGAACCUAACAUACGUAGGGCAGAAACUAGAGCCAAGAACUAUAGCAGGACUUCUAACAGAAAGGAGAAGAACACGUACGGCACAGCAGCAGCAGAAGCGCUGGACUUGGGGUUGGUGUCCUUGCCUGCCAUGUCAUCGAGGAGGUCAUGGACGUCAGGGAAGAAGUCGUCGUCGGGGAAGUAGUCGUUGGCGACCGGAUCGUCUGUGAUGAAGCAGCCAGUAGUCGCACUAAGUGCUCCCCAAAAACCUUAUCACCCUUCUCCCGUACAGGACUCAAAAGGUGCGGUCGCGAAAGCCUACUGUCCCGACGUGCGGUGCACGCCACAAGUCGGGAUGAGGAAGACAGCAGCAGCUCAGAGAUGGAACCGAUGGCGAGGGAAGGAGCAGUUCUGGUGCGUCUCUCUGAGAGGAGCGACCUCCCUUUUAUAGGCGCAAGAGAAGGAGGCGAGAGGCUGCGCCGGGAGCUGAAGGGAAUGCGGGAGACGAAACAAACAGGCAGCAGCCGAAGGGGCGCGCCGUUCGGAUUCAGUGUCCAGGCACAGAAAAAAAAUGUUUCAGCUUCCGAGUGACCUUUCGUAUACCCGUAGUGCGUGGCAAAAAUUUAGACAUCGGCUCGGCUCAUUCCCGCAACCCGCGGCGCGGCGCAUCGUGAUGAGGCGUGGUGAGGCGGGCGGCGGAGGAGGAGCACGCGUGGAUGUCCCUCUUGUUCUCAUGCUCAUACAAGUGGGGAAGGAGCCUCCCUUAUAAAGAGGUCCAACUCCCUCUAAACUAGCAAGGUGGGACUAAACUUUAGUUCCACCUCUUGCCUUGCACGAAUGGGCUGCGUGGGCCUCUAGGAUUUAUUAGGAAUUUCUAAAAUUGCUAUUGGGCUAGGCCCAAAUAGACAAAAAUUCCAGCAAUCCCCCACCAGAUCCCAGAGGCACACAAAAUUUGCCUUUGGUUCCAAAACACUGUUUUAUAUACUGGUACAGCAGUGGAGACUGUUAAGUUGAACUUCCACCUAGAACCCUAUGCUACACUAGUAAGCAACUUGAACAGUGGACUGGGCCUUGAACUGCAAGUUUUCUGCAAAUCUAGCUUCACAUAAGGCCUUGACCGAUACGUGGCUACCGUGGGUCUUCCCCGUGGGUGGAGCUUAUGCGUCAUACUCCGUGACCUUUCAUUAGUUUACUAGAGAGAACCCUACUCUCAUAGAUUGCGACGUUUAACAAUCAGACUCAUAUAGGUGCGUUCUUCAAAAGAUGUUCUGCAGGACAACAUCUCUGCUUCAAAAAGCCACUUAGAACACAUUAAGAUAUAAAUCAACCUGCCAUGCAGAUUAGGAGAGUAUUGCAUCUUCAUGGAGUGGUAUUUUAACAGUAUGGAUACUCUCCUCUCAGUUGACCAACAACUUGUCUUCCACAUCUAAUUCACGGGAUCUCCGAUCAUAAAGAAUAGGUUACCACUAUGAACAACUCAUAUUGUGGGUCUCAUUCCCAUCUCCCUCGAUGCAUUAUCUAUCACAUUACGUGAUAGACCGUUAGUAAAAGGAUCUGCCAGAUUUUUAGACGUUUGGAUAGAAUCCAAUGCAAUAACUCUGGAGUUUUUCAUUUUUCUGACAGACUUUAACCUUCUCUGAACGUGUCUUGAUGACUUCAUGUUAUCCUUUGAGUUGCUCACUUUAGUGAUCACAGUUUGAUUGUCACAGUUCAUCCGGAUACCCGGUAUAGGUUUCUCAACUACCGGUAAGUCAUUCAAGAGCCGACGAAGCCAAUCUGCUUCGACCGUACCUGUAUCUAGUGUUGUGAGUUCUGCUUCCAUUGUUGACCUCGUUAAGAUGGUCUGCUUGCAAGACUUCCAAGAAACAGCGCCACCUCCAUGAGUGAAUACAUAACCGCUCGUGGCCUUUAUCUCAUCAGCAUCUGAGAUCCAGUUUGAGUCACUAUACCCUUCAAGCACCUUUGGAUGCCAAGUGUAGUGAAUUCCAUAAUUUGCAGUGCCUUUUAAAUAACGCAAAACUCUCUCUAGAGCUUUCCAAUGCACAUCUCCUGGUUUUGAGACAAACCGGCUUAGUUAGCUAACAGCAAAAGAGAUGUCAGGUCUCGUAGCACUGGCUAAGUACAUAAGCGAGCCAAUAAUCUGUGAAUAUUUCAAUUGGUCUCUAGUGAUUCUUCGAUUCUUUCGAAGCAACACACUAGCAUCAUAUGGUGUUGGAGAGGGCUUGCAGUCACUGUAGCCAAAGCGGCUCAAGAUCUUUUCCACAUAGUGAGAUUGAAGCAAUGUAAUCCCACAAUCAUCAUCUCUCAAAAACUUGAUGUUCAGAAUGACAUCAGCCACUCCUAAAUCCUUCAUCUCAAAACAGCAAGAUAGGAAAUCCUUGACCUCCUUAAGAACAUUCAGAUCUGUUCCGAAAAUCAGUAUGUCAUCAACAUACAAGCAAAGCAUAACUCCCUUGCCCCCACCAUGGCGAUAGUACACACAUUUGUCAGCUUCGUUCACAACAAAGCCUGCAGCUAUUAAAGUUCUUUCGAACUUCUCAUGCCACUGUUUGGGUGCUUGCUUGAGUCCAUACAAAGACUUCAGCAACUUGCACACUUUCCCUUCCUGGCCAUCUAUUACAAACCCCUCUGGUUGUUCCAUAUAAAUUUCCUCAUCCAAAUCUCCAUUUAGGAAAGCAGUCUUAACAUCCAUUUGAUGAACGAGAAGACCAUGUGAGGCAGCUAGUGAAAGUAGACCUCGAAUAGUGGUCAGUCGAGCCACAGGUGAGUAAGUAUCAAAGAAGUCUUCACCUUCCUUUUGGUUAUAACCCUUUGCCACGAGCCGAGCCUUGUACUUUUCAUUAGUACCAUCAGGCCUAAGUUUCUUCUUGAAUACCCAUUUGCAUCCUAUAGGUUUGCACCCAUAAGGACGAUCAGUUAUCUCCCAAGUUUCAUUCGCCAAGAUGGAAUCCAUCUCGCUACGAAUCGCUUCCUUCCAGUAGUCAGCAUCUUCCGAUGCAUAGGCAUCCGAAAUAGAACUGGGAGUGUCAUCUAUGAGAUACACAAGAAAAUCAUCACCAAAGGACUUUGCUGUCCUCUGUCUCUUGCUCCUAGUAGGAACUUCAUUGUUCUCCUCCGCAGGACUUUCAAAGUGUUCCAUCGAAAUGGCAGGUUCAGUAAUUGUAACUGGUUCCUGAUUCGAUGAACUAGGCAUCUCCUAAUUAGAUGAGGUAGCCAUAUCCUUCAUGGGAAUGAUAUCUUCAAAGAAAGUCGCAUCAUUCGACUCCAUGAUCGUACCGACAUGCAUGUCAGAUACCUCAGAUUUUACAACCAAGAAUCUAUAGCCAAUGCUGUGAAAAGCAUAUCCCAGGAAAACACAAUCCACAGUCUUUGGUCCAAGCUUCCGCUUCUUUGGAAUUGGAACAUUGACUUUCGCCAAGCAACCGCAUGUUCGCAGAUAAGAGAGUUUUAACCUUUUCUUCUCCCAUUCCUCGAAUGGAGUUAUCUCUUUGUUCUUUGUGGGGACUCGAUUUAGGACAUGACAUGCUGUCAAUAUCGCCUCCCCCCACCAUGCCUUGGAGAGACCCGAUGUGGCGUUAACCAAAUCAGUUAGAGUACGGUUCUUUCUUUCGGCCACCCCAUUUGACUGAGGUGAGUAGGGAGGCGUCCCCUCAUGGAUUAUACCAUGUUCUGCACAAAAAGCAUCAAAUUCAUUGGAAAAAUACUCUCCACCACGGUCAGACCUAAGCCUCUUGAUUUUUCGAUCAAGUUGGUUUUCCACUUCAGCUUUAUAGAUCUUGAAAAAGUUCAAAGCCUCAUCCUUACAUUUCAGAAGAUACACAUGGCAGUAUCUAGUGGAGUCAUUAAUUAACGUCAUGCAAUAUUUCUUUCCACCUUUUGUCAAAACACCAUUCAUUUCACAUAGAUCUGAAUGUAUAAGUUCUAGUGGUGCAAGAUUUCUCGUCUCCGUAGUCACGUGAGACUUACGAGGUUGCUUAGCUUGCACACACACUUGACACUUAGAUCCUUGACAGUGGUGAAACUAGGGAUUAAGUUCAACUUCGCUAGUCGCGACAUGCAACCAAAGUUAACAUGACAAAGACGUGAAUGCCACACAUUUGAUUCACUAUUGUUGCAAAUAUGAUUAACAACUUUAUUGCAAACGUCUGAUAAGGAUAAACGAAACAGGCCUCCUGACUCAUAGCCUUUACCAACAAAGGUCCCAUACUUGGAUAUUACAAAUUUAUUCGACUCAAAGACAAGCUUAUAGCCAUCUCUACACAGAAGAGAUCCGCUAACAAGAUUUUUAUUGACGGAGGGGACAUAAUGCACGUUCUUCAGCCGCACGAUCUUCCCUGAAGUAAACUUCAGAUCAACCAUGCCAACACCACGAACAGAAGCACUUGAACUGUUGCCCAUCAGCACGGUUGAAGUCCCUGCGGUCUGAUAAGAUGAAAACAUGGAAAUAUCACCGCAUACAUGCACAUUAGCACCCAUGUCAAUCAACCAACCAGGAGAAUGACAUACUGAAAGAAUAGUGGGAAAUAUACCAUACCCAGCAUCUUUCAUGUCAAUGUCUCCGAUGACAACAUUAGCGGUCUUGCCGCCUUUCCCAGGAUGACGCUUGUCAUAGCGAUUAGGACAACUAGGAGCCCAAUGAUCAGGAUCUCCAAACACAUGACAAGCACCUUUCUUAUUGUCAUUCUUCUUCUUGAAGUUCAUGUGCUGCACAGCCUUGUUCUUCCCAUCGAACUUUGCUUUACCAUCAAACUUGCCCUUGUUCUUGAACUUGUGGGACUGGAAGUUCUUCUUCUGUACCAGAUUGGCACUAGAUCCUCCCUCAAUACCUCGAGCACGUGUGUCCUUUGCUCUCGCCUUUUCUUCCACAUAAGAGUACCAAUGAGAUCCGGGAUGGAAAACUCCUGUCUCUUAUGCUUCAGUAAGGUAGCAAAGUUCCUCCAUGAAGGAGGAAGCUUAGUGAUGAUACCCCCGGCAACAAACUUGUCCGGUAAGAUACAAUUGAAGUGCUCAAGUUCUCUAGCAAAAGACUGUAUCUCAUGAGCCUGCUCAACCACGGAGCGCUCUUCAGUCAUCCUGUAAUCAUAGAAUUAUUCCAUGAUGUACAGCUCAGUGCCGGCAUCCGAGACCCCAAACUUGGCCUCGAGUGUGUCCCACAUAUCUUUUCAUUGUCAAUUGAAGCAUAAGCAUCAACUAUGUUCUCACCAAGAACACUCAAAAGAGCAGCCUUAAACAAGGUAUCCAUUUUCUGGAAAGCUUGUGCCUGUUGGGCAUCUUGCUCUCCUUCAGGUUUGCCAAGAGUGGCAUCAUAGAAACUCAUGGUUUGAAACCAUAAGACUGCUCUCACACGCCACUUCUUAUAGUGGAUACCCUCAAACAUAGGAGGUCUCAUGGAAGCAGCAAAAUCACUCGGGGUAAAUUGCCUAUAAUAAGGUUUUUGGAUUGUUGGAAAUAUGAGCAAUUUACCGAAUGAUUUUAUUAACAAAAAUACUAGAUAAAGCAUGACUAAAAUAGCAAAUAUAAAGCAAGUCAUGUAGUCUGACAGAGAGAAGGUAAACAUCGUCUGCAUAUAUGAACUUGAGCUAAACACAGCUAGAACAGACACUAGAUGAAGUUGCUUAUACGAAACAGAACCUAACAUACGUAGGGCAGAAACUAGAGCCAAGAACUAUAGCAGGACUUCUAACAGAAAGGAGAAGAACACGUACGGCACAGCAGCAGCAGAAGCGCUGGACUUGGGGUUGGUGUCCUCGCCUGCCAUGUCAUCGAGGAGGUCAUGGACGUCAGGGAAGAAGUCGUCGUCGGGGAAGUAGUCGUCGGCGACCGGAUCGUCUGUGAUGAAGCAGCCAGUAGUCGCACUAAGCGCUCCCCAAAAACCUUAUCACCCUUCUCCCGUACAGGACUCAAAAGGGGCGGUCGCGAAAGCCUACUGUCCCGACGUGCGGUGCACGCCACAAGUCGGGAUGAGGAAGACAGCAGCAGCUCAGAGAUGGAACCGAUGGCGAGGGAAGGAGCAGUUCUGGUGCGUCUCUCUGAGAGGAGCGACCUCCCUUUUAUAGGCGCAAGAGAAGGAGGCGAGAGGCUGCGCCGGGAGCUGAAGGGAAUGCGGGAGACGAAACGAACAGGCAGCAGCCGAAGGGGCGCGCCGUUCGGAUUCAGUGUCCAGGCACAGAAAAAAAAUGUUUCAGCUUCCGAGUGACCUUUCGUAUACCCGUAGUGCGUGGCAAAAAUUUAGACAUCGGCUCGGCUCAUUCCCGCAACCCGCGGCGCGGCGCAUCGUGAUGAGGCGUGGUGAGGCGGGCGGCGGAGGAGGAGCACGCGUGGAUGUCCCUCUUGUUCUCAUGCUCAUACAAGUGGGGAAGGAGCCUCCCUUAUAAAGAGGUCCAACUCCCUCUAAACUAGCAAGGUGGGACUAAACUUUAGUUCCACCUCUUGCCUUGCACGAAUGGGCUGCGUGGGCCUCUAGGAUUUAUUAGGAAUUUCUAAAAUUGCUAUUGGGCUAGGCCCAAAUAGACAAAAAUUCCAGCAAUCCCCCACCAGAUCCCAGAGGCACACAAAAUUUGCCUUUGGUUCCAAAACACUGUUUUAUAUACUGGUACAGCAGUGGAGACUGUUAAGUUGAACUUCCACCUAGAACCCUAUGCUACACUAGUAAGCAACUUGAACAGUGGACUGGGCCUUGAACUGCAAGUUUUCUGCAAAUCUAGCUUCACAUAAGGCCUUGACCGAUACGUGGCUACCGUGGGUCUUCCCCGUGGGUGGAGCUUAUGCGUCAUACUCCGUGACCUUUCAUUAGUUUACUAGAGAGAACCCUACUCUCAUAGAUUGCGACGUUUAACAAUCAGACUCAUAUAGGUGCGUUCUUCAAAAGAUGUUCUGCAGGACAACAUCUCUGCUUCAAAAAGCCACUUAGAACACAUUAAGAUAUAAAUCAACCUGCCAUGCAGAUUAGGAGAGUAUUGCAUCUUCAUGGAGUGGUAUUUUAACAGUAUGGAUACUCUCCUCUCAGUUGACCAACAACUUGUCUUCCACAUCUAAUUCACGGGAUCUCCGAUCAUAAAGAAUAGGUUACCACUAUGAACAACUCAUAUUGUGGGUCUCAUUCCCAUCUCCCUCGAUGCAUUAUCUAUCACAUUACGUGAUAGACCCUUAGUAAAAGGAUCUGCCAGAUUUUUAGACGUUUGGAUAUAAUCCAAUGCAAUAACUCUGGAGUUUUUCAUUUUUCUGACAGACUUUAACCUUCUCUGAACGUGUCUUGAUGACUUCAUGUUAUCCUUUGAGUUGCUCACUUUAGUGAUCACAGUUUGAUUGUCACAGUUCAUCCGGAUACCCGGUACAGGUUUCUCAACUACCGGUAAGUCAUUCAAGAGCCGACGAAGCCAAUCUGCUUCGACCGUACCUGUAUCUAGUGUUGUGAGUUCUGCUUCCAUUGUUGACCUCAUUAAGAUGGUCUGCUUGCAAGACUUCCAAGAAACAGCGCCACCUCCAUGAGUGAAUACAUAACCGCUCGUGGCCUUUAUCUCAUCAGCAUCUGAGAUCCAGUUUGAGUCACUAUACCCUUCAAGCACCUUUGGAUGCCAAGUGUAGUGAAUUCCAUAAUUUGCAGUGCCUUUUAAAUAACGCAAAACUCUCUCUAGAGCUUUCCAAUGCACAUCUCCUGGUUUUGAGACAAACCGGCUUAGUUAGCUAAUAGCAAAAGAGAUGUCAGGUCUCGUAGCACUGGCUAAGUACAUAAGCGAGCCAAUAAUCUGUGAAUAUUUCAAUUGGUCUCUAGUGAUUCUUCGAUUCUUUCGAAGCAACACACUAGCAUCAUAUGGUCUUGGAGAGGGCUUGCAGUCACUGUAGCCAAAGCGGCUCAAGAUCUUUUCCACAUAGUGAGAUUGAAGCAAUGUAAUCCCACCAUCAUCAUCUCUCAACAACUUGAUGUUCAGAAUGACAUCAGCCACUCCUAAAUCCUUCAUCUCAAAACAGCAAGAUAGGAAAUCCUUGACCUCCUUAAGAACAUUCAGAUUUGUUCCGAAAAUCAGUAUGUCAUCAACAUACAAGCAAAGCAUAACUCCCUUGCCCCCACCAUGGCGAUAGUACACACAUUUGUCAGCUUCGUUCACAACAAAGCCUGCAGCUAUUAAAGUUCUUUCGAACUUCUCAUGCCACUGUUUGGGUGCUUGCUUGAGUCCAUACAAAGACUUCAGCAACUUGCACACUUUCCCUUCCUGGCCAUCUAUUACAAACCCCUCUGGUUGUUCCAUAUAAAUUUCCUCAUCCAAAUCUCCAUUUAGGAAAGCAGUCUUAACAUCCAUUUGAUGAACGAGAAGACCAUGUGAGGCAGCUAGUGAAAGUAGACCUCGAAUAGUGGUCAGUCGAGCCACAGGUGAGUAAGUAUCAAAGAAAUCUUCACCUUCCUUUUGGUUAUAACCCUUUGCCACGAGCCGAGCCUUGUACUUUUCAUUAGUACCAUCAGGCCUAAGUUUCUUCUUGAAUACCCAUUUGCAUCCUAUAGGUUUGCACCCAUAAGGACGAUCAGUUAUCUCCCAAGUUUCAUUCGCCAAGAUGGAAUCCAUCUCGCUACGAAUCGCUUCCUUCCAGUAGUCAGCAUCUUCCGAUGCAUAGGCAUCCGAAAUAGAACUGGGAGUGUCAUCUAUGAGAUACACAAGAAAAUCAUCACCAAAGGACUUUGCUGUCCUCUGUCUCUUGCUCCUAGUAGGAACUUCAUUGUUCUCCUCCGCAGGACUUUCAAAGUGUUCCAUCGAAAUGGCAGGUUCAGUAAUUGUAACUGGUUCCUGAUUCGAUGAACUAGGCAUCUCCUAAUUAGAUGAGGUAGCCAUAUCCUUCAUGGGAAUGAUAUCUUCAAAGAAAGUCGCAUCAUUCGACUCCAUGAUCGUACCGACAUGCAUGUCAGAUACCUCAGAUUUUACAACCAAGAAUCUAUAGCCAAUGCUGUGAAAAGCAUAUCCCAGGAAAACACAAUCCACAGUCUUUGGUCCAAGCUUCCGCUUCUUUGGAAUUGGAACAUUGACUUUCGCCAAGCAACCCCAUGUUCGCAGAUAAGAGAGUUUUAACCUUUUCUUCUCCCAUUCCUCGAAUGGAGUUAUCUCUUUGUUCUUUGUGGGGACUCGAUUUAGGACAUGACAUGCUGUCAAUAUCGCCUCCCCCCACCAUGCCUUGGAGAGACCCGAUGUGGCGUUAACCAAAUCAGUUAGAGUACGGUUCUUUCUUUCGGCCACCCCAUUUGACUGAGGUGAGUAGGGAGGCGUCCUCUCAUGGAUUAUACCAUGUUCUGCACAAAAAGCAUCAAAUUCAUUGGAAAAAUACUCUCCACCACAGUCAGACCUAAGCCUCUUGAUUUUUCGAUCAAGUUGGUUUUCCACUUCAGCUUUAUAGAUCUUGAAAAAGUUCAAAGCCUCAUCCUUACAUUUCAGAAGAUACACAUGGCAGUAUCUAGUGGAGUCAUUAAUUAACGUCAUGCAAUAUUUCUUUCCACCUUUUGUCAAAACACCAUUCAUUUCACAUAGAUCUGAAUGUAUAAGUUCUAGUGGUGCAAGAUUUCUCGUCUCCGCAGUCACGUGAGACUUACGAGGUUGCUUAGCUUGCACACACACUUGACACUUAGAUCCUUGACAGUGGUGAAACCAGGGAUUAAGUUCAACUUCGCUAGUCGCGACAUGCAACCAAAGUUAACAUGACAAAGACGUGAAUGCCACACAUUUGAUUCACUAUUGUUGCAAAUAUGAUUAACAACUUUAUUGCAAACGUCUGAUAAGGAUAAACGAAACAGGCCUCCUGACUCAUAGCCUUUACCAACAAAGGUCCCAUACUUGGAUAUUACAAAUUUAUUCGACUCAAAGACAAGCUUAUAGCCAUCUCUACACAGAAGAGAUCCGCUAACAAGAUUUUUAUUGACGGAGGGGACAUAAUGCAUGUUCUUCAGCCGCACGAUCUUCCCUGAAGUAAACUUCAGAUCAACCAUGCCAACACCACGAACAGAAGCACUUGAACUGUUGCCCAUCAGCACGGUUGAAGUCCCUGCGGUCUGAUAAGAUGAAAACAUGGAAAUAUCACCGCAUACAUGCACAUUAGCACCCAUGUCAAUCAACCAACCAGGAGAAUGACAUACUGAAAGAAUAGUGGGAAAUAUACCAUACCCAGCAUCUUUCAUGUCAAUGUGUCCGAUGACAACAUUAGCGGUCUUGCCGCCUUUCCCAGGAUGACGCUUGUCAUAGCGAUUAGGACAACUAGGAGCCCAAUGAUCAGGAUCUCCAAACACAUGACAAGCACCUUUCUUCUUGUCAUUCUUCUUCUUGAAGUUCAUGUGCUGCACAGCCUUGUUCUUCCCAUCGAACUUUGCUUUACCAUCAAACUUGCCCUUGUUCUUGAACUUGUGGGACUGAAAGUUCUUCUUCUGUACCAGAUUGGCACUAGAUCCUCCCUCAAUACCUCGGGCACGUGUGUCCUUUGCUCUCGCCUUUUCUUCCACAUAAGAGUACCAAUGAGAUCCGGGACGGAAAACUCCUGUCUCUUAUGCUUCAGUAAGGUAGCAAAGUUCCUCCAUGAAGGAGGAAGCUUAGUGAUGAUACCCCCGGCAACAAACUUGUCCGGUAAGAUACAAUUGAAGUUCUCAAGUUCUCUAGCAAAAGACUGUAUCUCAUGAGCCUGCUCAACCAUGGAGCGCUCUUCAGUCAUCCUGUAAUCAUAGAAUUAUUCCAUGAUGUACAGCUCAGUGCCGGCAUCCGAGACCCCAAACUUGGCCUCGAGUGUGUCCCACAUAUCUUUUCAUUGUCAAUUGACGCAUAAGCAUCAACUAUGUUCUCACCAAGAACACUCAAAAGAGCAGCCUUAAACAAGGUAUCCAUUUUCUGGAAAUCUUGUGCCUGUUGGGCAUCUUGCUCUCCUUCAGGUUUGCCAAGAGUGGCGUCAUAGAAACUCAUGGUUUGAAACCAUAAGACUGCUCUCACACGCCACCUCUUAUAGUGAAUACCCUCAAACAUAGGAGGUCUCAUGGAAGCAGCAAAAUCACUCAGGGUAAAUUGCCUAUAAUAAGGUUUUUGGAUUGUUGGAAAUAUGAGCAAUUUACCGAAUGAUUUUAUUAACAAAAAUACUAGAUAAAGCAUGACUAAAAUAGCAAAUAUAAAGCAAGUCAUGCAGUCUGAGAGAUAGAAGGUAAACAUCGUCUGCAUAUAUGAACUUGAGCUAAACACAUCUAGAACAGACACUAGAUGAAGUUGCUUAUACGAAACAGAACCUAACAUACGUAGGGCAAAAUCUAGAGCCAAGAACUGUAGCAGGACUUCUAACAGAAAGGAGAAGAACACGUACGGCACAGCAGCAGCAGAAGCGCUGGACUUGGGUUGCUGUCCUCGCCUGCCAUGUCAUCGAGGAGGUCAUGGACGUCAGGGAAGAAGUCGUCGUCGGCGGGGAAGUAGUCGUCGGCGACCGGAUCGUCUGUGAUGAAGCAGCCAGUAGUCGCACUGAGCACUCCCCAAAAACCUUAUCACCCUUCUCUCGUACAAGACUCAAAAGGUGCGGUCGCGAAAGCCUACUGUCCCGACGUGCGGUGCACGCCGCAAGUCGGGAUGAGGAAGACAGCAGCAGCUCAGAGAUGGAACCGAUGGCGAGGGAAGGAGCAGUUCUGGUGCGUCUCUCUGAGAGGAGCGACCUCCCUUUUAUAGGCGCAAGAGAAGGAGGCGAGAGGCUGCGCCGAGAGCUGAAGGGAAUGCGGGAGACGAAACGAACAGGCAGCAGCCGAAGGGGCGCACCAUUCGGAUUCAGUGUCCAGGCACAGAAAAAAAAUGUUUCAGCUUUCGAGUGACCUUUCGUAUACCCGUAGUGCGUGGCAAAAAUUUAGACAUCGGCUCGGCUCAUUCCCGCAACCCGCGGCGCGGCGCAUCGUGACGAGGCGUGGUGAGGCAGGCGGCGGAGGAGGAGCGCACGUGGAUGUCCCUCUUGUUCUCAUGCUCAUACAAGUGGGGAAGGAGCCUCCCUUAUAAAGAGGUCCAACUCCCUCUAAACUAGCAAGGUGGGACUAAACUUUAGUUCCACCUCUUGCCUUGCACGAAUGGGCUGCAUGGGCCUCUAGGAUUUAUUAGGAAUUUCUAAAAUUGCUAUUGGGCUAGGCCCAAAUAGACAAAAAUUCCAGCAAUCCCCCACCAGAUCCCAGAGGCACAAAAAAUUUGCCUUUGGUUCCAAAACACUGUUUUAUAUACUGGUACAGCAGUGGAGACUGUUAAGUUGAACUUCCACCUAGAACCCUAUGCUACACUAGUAAGCAACUUGAACAGUGGACUGGGCCUUGAACUGCAAGUUUUCUGCAAAUCUAGCUUCACAUAAAGCCUUGACCGAUACGUGGCUACCGUGGGUCUUCCCCGCGGGUGGAGCUUAUGCGUCAUACUCCAUGACCUUUCAUUAGUUUACUAGAGAGAACCCUACUCUCAUAGAUUGCGACGUUUAACAAUCAGACUCAUAUAGGUGCGUUCUUCAAAAGAUGUUCUGCAGGACAACAUCUCUGCUUCAAAAAGCCACUUAGAACACAUUAAGAUAUAAAUCAACCUGCCAUGCAGAUUAGGAGAGUAUUGCAUCUUCAUGGAGUGGUAUUUUAACAGUAUGGAUACUCUCCUCUCAGUUGACUAACAGCUUGUCUUCCACAUCUAAUUCACGGGAUCUCCGAUCAUAAAGAAUAGAUUACCACUGUGAACAACUCAUAUUGUGGGUCUCAUUCCCAUCUCCCUCGAUGCAUUAUCUAUCACAUUACGUGAUAGACCCUUAGUAAAAGGAUCUGCCAGAUUUUUAGACGUUUGGAUAUGAUCCAAUGCAAUAACUCUGGAGUUUUUCAUUUUUCUGACAGACUAACCUUCUCUGAACGUGUCUUGAUGACUUCAUGUUAUCCUUUGAGUUGCUCACUUUAGUGAUCACAGUUUGAUUGUCACAGUUCAUCCGGAUACCCGAUACAGGUUUCUCAACUACCGGUAAGUCAUUCAAGAGCAGACGAAGCCAAUCCGCUUCAACCGUACAUGUAUCUAGUGUUGUGAGUUCUACUUCCAUUGUUGACCUCGUUAGAUGGUCUGCUUGCAAGACUUCCAAGAAACAGCGCCACCUCCAUGAGUGAAUACAUAACCGCUCGUGGCCUUUAUCUCAUCAACAUCUGAGAUCCAGUUUGAGUUACUAUACCCUUCAAGCACCUUUGGAUGCCCAGUGUAGUGAAUUCCAUAAUUUGCAGUGCCUUUCAAAUAACGCAAAACUCUCUCUAGAGCUUUCCAAUGCACAUCUCCUGGUUUUGAGACAAACCGGCUUAGUUAGCUAACAGCAAAAGAGAUGUCAGGUCUCAUAGCACUGGCUAAGUACAUAAGCGAGCCAAUAAUCUGUGAAUAUUUCAAUUGGUCUCUAGCGAUUCUUCGAUUCUUUCGAAGCAACACACUAGCAUCAUAUGGUGUUGGAGAGGGCUUGCAGUCACUAUAGCCAAAGCGGCUCAAGAUCUUUUCCACAUAGUGAGAUUGAAGCAAUGUAAUCCCACCAUCAUCAUCUCUCAACAACUUGAUGUUCAGAAUGAGAUCAGCCACUCCUAAAUCCUUCAUCUCAAAACAGCAAGAUAGGAAAUCCUUGACCUCCUUAAGAACAUUCAGAUUUGUUCCGAAAAUCAGUAUGUCAUCAACAUACAAGCAAAGCAUAACUCCCUCGCCCCCACCAUGGCGAUAGUACACACAUUUGUCAGCUUCGUUCACAACAAAGCCUGCAGCUAUUAAAGUUCUUUCGAACUUCUCAUGCCACUGUUUGGGUGCUUGCUUGAGUCCAUACAAAGACUUCAGCAACUUGCACACUUUCCCUUCCUGGCCAUCUAUUACAAACCCCUCUGGUUGUUCCAUAUAAAUUUCCUCAUCCAAAUCUCCAUUUAGGAAAGCAGUCUUAACAUCCAUUUGAUGAACGAGAAGACCAUGUGAGGUAGCUAGUGAAAGUAGACCUCGAAUAGUGGUCAGUCGAGCCACAGGUGAGUAAGUAUCAAAGAAGUCUUCACCUUCCUUUUGGGUAUAACCCUUUUCCAUGAGCCAAGCCUUGUACUUUUCAUUAGUACCAUCAGGCCUAAGUUUCUUCUUGAAUACCCAUUUGCAUCCUAUAGGUUUGCACCCAUAAGGACGAUCAGUUAUCUCCCAAGUUUCAUUCGCCAAGAUGGAGUCCAUCUCGCUACGAAUCGCUUCCUUCCAGUAGUCAGCAUCUUCCGAUGCAUAGGCAUCCGAAAUAGAACUGGGAGUGUCAUCUAUGAGAUACACAAGAAAAUCAUCAGCAAAGGACUUUGCUGUCCUCUGUCUCUUGCUCCUAGUAGGAACUUCAUUGUUCUCCUCCGCAGGACUUUCAAAGUGUUCCAUCGAAAUGGCAGGUUCAGUAAUUGUAACUGGUUCCUGAUUCGAUGAACUAGGCAUCUCCUAAUUAGAUGAGGUAGCCAUAUCCUUCAUGGGAAUGAUAUCUUCAAAGAAAGUCGCAUCAUUCGACUCCAUGAUCGUACCGACAUGCAUGUCAGAUACCUCAGAUUUUACAACCAAGAAUCUAUAGCCAAUGCUGUGAAAAGCAUAUCCCAGGAAAACACAAUCAACAGUCUUUGGUCCAAGCUUCCGCUUCUUUGGAAUUGGAACAUUGACUUUCGCCAAGCAACCCCAUGUUCGCAGAUAAGAGAGUUUUAACCUUUUCUUCUCCCAUUCCUCGAAUGGAGUUAUCUCUUUGUUCUUUGUGGGGACUCGAUUUAGGACAUGACAUGCUGUCAAUAUCGCCUCCCCCCACCAUGCCUUGGAGAGACCCGAUGUGGCGUUAACCAAAUCAGUUAGAGUACGGUUCUUUCUUUCGGCCACCCCAUUUGACUGAGGUGAGUAGGGAUGCGUCCUCUCAUGGAUUAUACCUUGUUCUGCACAAAAAGCAUCAAAUUCAUUGGAAAAAUACUCUCCACCACGGUCAGACCUAAGCCUCUUGAUUUUUCGAUCAAGUUGGUUUUCCACUUCAGCUUUAUAGAUCUUGAAAAAGUUCAAAUCCUCAUCCUUACAUUUCAGAAGAUACACAUGGCAGUAUCUAGUGGAGUCGUUAAUUAACGUCAUGAAAUAUUUCUUUCCACGUUUUGUCAAAACACCAUUCAUUUCACAUAGAUCUGAAUGUAUAAGUUCUAGUGGUGCAAGAUUUCUCGUCUCCGCAGUCAUGUGAGACUUACGAGGUUGCUUAGCUUGCACACACACUUGACACUUAGAUCCCUUGACAGUGGUGAAACUAGGGAUUAAGUUCAACUUCGCUAGCCGCGACAUGCAACCAAAGUUAACAUGACAAAGACGUGAAUGCCACACAUUUGAUUCACUAUUGUUGCAAAUAUGAUUAACAACUUUAUUGCAAAUGUCUGAUAAGGAUAAACGAAACAGGCUUCCUGACUCAUAGCCUUUGCCAACAAAAGUUCCAUACUGGGAUAUUACAAAUUUAUUCGACUCAAAUACAAGCUUAUAGCCAUCUCUACACAGAAGAGAUCCGCUAACAAGAUUGUUAUUGACGGAGGGGACAUAAUGCACGUUCUUCAGCCGCACGAUCUUCCCCGAAGUAAACUUCAGAUCGACCAUGCCAACACCACGAACAGAAGCACUUGAACCGUUGCCCAUCAGCACGGUUGAAGUCCCUGCGGUCUGAUCAGAUGAAAACAUGGAAAUAUCACUGCAUACAUGCACAUUAGCACCCAUGUCAAUCAACCAAUCAGGAGAAUGACAUACUGAAAGAAUAGUGGGAAAUAUACCAUACCCAGCAUCUUUCAUGUCAAUGUCUCCGAUGACAACAUUAGCGGUCUUGCCGCCUUUCCCAGGAUGACGCUUGUCAUAGAGAUUAGGACAAAUAGGAGCCCAAUGAUCAGGCUCUCCACACACAUGACAAGCACCUUUCUUCUUGUCAUUCUUCUUCUUGAAGUUCGUGUGCUGCACAGCCUUGUUCUUCCCAUCGAACUUUGCUUUACCAUCAAACUUGCCCUUGUUCUAGAACUUGUGGGACUGGAAGUUCUUCUUCUGUACUAGAUUGGCACUAGAUCCUCCCUCAAUACCUCGAGCACGUGUGUCCUUUGCUCUCGCCUUUUCUUCCACAUCAAGAGUACCAAUGAGUUCCGGGACGGAAAACUCCUGUCUCUUAUGCUUCAGUAAGGUAGCAAAGUUCCUCCACGAAGGAGGAAGCUUAGUGAUGAUACCCCCGGCAACAAACUUGUCCGGUAAGAUACAAUUGAAGUGCUCAAGUUCUCUAGCAAAGGACUGUAUCUCAUGAUCCUGCUCAACCACGGAGCGCUCUUCAGUCAUCAUGUAAUCAUAGAAUUGCUCCAUGAUGUACAAUUCAGUGCCGGCAUCCGAGACCCCAAACUUGGCCUCAAGUGCGUCCCACAUAUCUUUUCUAUUGUCAAUUGACGCAUAAGCAUCAACUAUGUUCUCACCAAGAACACUCAAAAGAGCAGCCUUAAACAAGGUAUCCAUUUUCAGAAAAGCUUGUGCCUGUUGGGCAUCUUGCUCUCCUUCAGGUUUGCCAAGAGUGGCGUCAUAGCAACUCAUGGUUUGAAACCAUAAGACUGCUCUCACGCGCCACCUCUUAUAGUGGAUACCCUCAAACAUACGAGCUCUCAUGGAAGCAGCAAAACCACUCGGGGUAAAUUGCCUAUAAUAAGGUUUUUGGAUUGUUGGAAAUAUGAGCAAUUUACCGAAUGAUUUUAUUAACAAAAAUACUAGAUAAAGCAUGACUAAAAUAGCAAAUAUAAAACAAGUCAUGCAGUCUGACAGAGAGAAGGUAAACAUCGUCUGCAUAUAUGAACUUGAGCUAAACACAUCUAGAACAUACACUAGAUGAAGUUGCUUAUACGAAACAGAACCUAACAUACGUAGGGCAGAAACUAGAGCCAAGAACUGUAGCAGGACUUCUAACAGAAAGGAGAAGAACACGUACGGCAUAGCAGCAGCAGAAGCGCUGGACUUCGGGUCGGUGUCCUCGCCUGCCAUGUCGUCGAGGAGGUCGUGGACGUCGGGGAAGAAGUCGUCGUCGGGGAAGUAGUCGUCGGCGACCGGAUCGUCCGUGAUGAAGCAGCCAGUAGUCGCGCUGAGCGCUCCCCAAAAACCUUAUCACCCUUCUCCCGUACAGGACUCAAAAGGUGCGGUCUCGGAGGCCUACUAUCCCGACGUGCGGUGCACGCCGCAAGUCGGGAUGAGGAAGACAGCAGCAGCUCAGAGAUGGAACCGAUGGCGAGGGAAGGAGCAGUUCUGGUGCGUCUCUCUGAGAGGAGCGACCUCCCUUUUAUAGGCGCAAGAGAAGGAGGCGAGAGGCUGCGCCGGGAGCUGAAGGGAAUGCGGGAGACGAAACGAACAUGCAGCAGCCGAAGGGGCGCGCCUUCGGAUUCAGUGUCCAGGCACAGAAAAAAAUGUUUCAGCUUCCGAGUGACCUUUCGUAUACCCGUAGUGCGUGGCAAAAAUUUAGACAUCGGCUCGGCUCAUUCCCGCAACCCGCGGCGCGGCAUGACGAGGCGUGGUGAGGCGGGCGGCGGAGGAGGAGCGCGCGUGGAUGUCCCUCUUGUUCUCAUGCUCAUACAAGUGGAGAAGGAGCCUCCCUUAUAAAGAGGUCCAACUCCCUCUAAACUAGCAAGGUGGGACUAAACUUUAGUUCCACCUCUUGCCUUGCACGAAUGGGCUGCGUGGUCCUCUAGGAUUUAUUAGGAAUUUCUGAAACUGCUAUUGUGCUAGGCCCAAAUAGACAAAAAUUCCAGCAGUUUGUGUUCUUCAGGUCUCCACUUGCCAUGAUAUUGCGGCUGGGCUUCGGGUAUGUGUUACCACUGAUACAUCAUUCCAAACUACUAAUGAAUUGGUCUCUGAUGUCUUCUUCUCAAUUUUAACUAGGGCCUGCUUCUGUUUGCACCAAUUCGAGAUAGUGGUUGUGGAAUGCAGCAGCCAAGACAACAAGGUCAGGCUCGGCUUAGGUAUGAUGACAAACAAAAUUAGAUUCGGAUGGUUCCUUACAUCUUCCUCUCAGAAUCAAGAGUGAUAAUACUUUUUUGGUGCUCCGGCUUCUGCAGUUUCUGAAGAACUGAUUCGUUGUUCAGGCAUUUCAUGCAUUUGGAGUUCACAGGUAUCUAAGUUUCUCUGACUGUGUUUUCAAAUAAUUGAUACUUGACAUUAGGAUUUUUGGCUGAACAAAUCAUCUUAGACAUAAGUAGAACCCGGCAAAUUGUGAGACAGAGCUAAUUGAUACACAGUUUAGAAAAUAGAACUGAACAAUUCUUGGUAGUCACUAUUGAUUAGCUAUGUGCGUACCUUAAGUUCCUUACUACUUAUUUUAAUUGUUAGUACUUGAAGGUUUGAAUAAUUAUUAUUACCAAGUUACAUGUUGAUCACUACUUAUUAUGAAAAUGUAUGUCCAUGGUUUAAAGGAGCUUUAUUGUUUCAGUCUAUACUAAGUUAUUUGUCGGUUAUACUGGAGCUUAUAUUGUUCCCUCUUUGAUCUAGACAUCAAAUAUUCUAAGCUUCAUUUUUGUGAGCAAACGGUUCUAUGCUUCCUUUUUGUGAACAUUGCUCCAUAAAUAGUAGUGGCAUUUACUAUGCAGAUGAUACUGACAAAUUAUCAUACAAGUCCGCAUUAAUAUUCAGUCAGUAGGUUAUUGAAGAAGGCCGGAGAUCGCGUGGAGCACCAACAAUAACCUCAAGUAGAUGCAGCAGAGACAUGUGAUGAACUAUCAUAUGUUUCCUAAUCUGAAUGUUUGCUCCAAUCGCUUGAUUGUUUGAUCUGGUUUGUUGUGACAAUACAAUGAUUUUCUAUGUUCUUUUUGUGGUGCAAUCUCCGUUGAUUUGGAAAGAUGGGGACUUUCUGUUGAGCUAUUUCGAUCGGCCAUUGGCCAUAACAUUCCAAAUUCCUUAUUUUGUUUCCUCUUUUUCGCGGCUUCAUUUUACGUGUCUCACUAAAGGUGGGCAUGACUUGAAAAGGGAGGCAAACAAAACUGCCAAGAUGCAUCUCUUUUGCAGCAGAAGAAGAGGCACUGAUGAGAGGUGGAAAAGGAGGGGCAAAGAAGGAAGCCAUGGGCAUGUGCCGCCUACCGACCAUGAAUAUCAACAAUGACAAUGACGACUAGCUUGUGUGCGUGUGAGAGAGGGAGGGAGAGGGAGUCAAAACAAAAUGAUGUAUAUCUUUACUACAUUAUAAAAUGGGAUUUGGUGAGCUAUUUGUCCUUUAUGAUUCAUGAGAUUUUAAUUCUAUAGUGUUUUUUGCUCUUAAUAUAUUAUUGUGGUUAUAGAUUUAUCAUUGACACAAUAUAUGUAGAAACUUUUUUGAUCUAAAUAAGAAGAACAAAAGUUUACGGGAUGCUUUUUGAUCGUUCCCUUUACCUAGCUUCCAAUUUCUAUUGUCAGAAACACAUUUUUUUUGUUCCUAUAGGAAACAUAUGCAAAUAAAAGAUUUGCCGAAGCUUUUUGAGUCCCUGAUGCAUACUAAAUACAGUCCUAGAACAAUAUGCUUAUGCAUAAUAACAAGCUGGAAAAUUGCUCCAAAAUAACACUUAAAACAUAUAAAAGAACAAAAAAAUCCAUUCUGAAUUCUAAAAUGAUCUUUCAAUGUAUGCAGCAAACUGCUUCCUUUAUAAUCUGACAAAACUCGCAGGACUUAUCAUGACGCAUGAAAGGAUAUAGUAAACCAUCACACCGAAGCCGAGGUUGGCUUUGUUUCCUUAUUUUUGCGAGAAGGUGUCAUAGUUCUACUAUUUUGAUUAGCCAUCUAGAGGGAUGACAGUGCAUGCAAUCAUUUAAAUAAAAUAAUACAAAGAUGCUGCAUGAGUCAUCAAUUCAAACAAGAACUUGUUUCAUGUGAUUUUUUGUGUAAAGUGGAAACAAAUUAUUUUUAUAACAACUAAUUCGACAACACAAGUGCUACACCGUGAUCAGUAUAUGCAUAUGAUACGAUCUAGCUAUUUUCCUUUGCACGGGUGGUUUUUAUCAUGAGGUAGGAGGGUUCGUACAAGUCGACUAUCAGCUCUCAUGCAAUGCUUUAAAAAGAAAAACGAGAGGAAUUUGUGAAUUUUUGUAUAACAUUGCAAAUUAUAUGAAAAAACUUUUUAAUUUGUCAGAACUUUUAGGAGGGAGUGAGUGGCAAAUGUUGGAAGACAUUCAAAGUUAGGAUGAUGGGAAUGCCUAUGGCAAUUUGGAGAACUUGGAGAAAACAUAUGCGAACUUGAGCUAGGUAGCAAUGUAGAGCUUAAUUAAGCUAAAUGGUUCAUAUUCAUUUGUUAGUCCAUGAGUUCGAGAUGAUGGACUCAACAAUUGGAUAGAUUUGGAGGGAACACGAAUUUGGAGUAGUGUGACAACAUAGCGAAGUAAUGACACAAUGGUCGAAGGGCUGAAGUUGAGGGGCUUGUGAUAGAUCCAUUUGUUGGCCCGUGGCUGCGCACGGGCGUUCUACUAGUAAUCAUUGGUGGCUUCUUUGACCACCAGACGGCUUAUUGACUUCUUCCACUCGAGGAUCACCGUGGAGCAAUCCUUCUUCCCCUUCCUACAGAAGCACGCCAACCACAAACAAAUGCUCAAAAAGACCUUAGCAAAUGCCAUUGAACUAGAUUGUAGGCAAGAGGAAUCUUAUUAGUUGGUAGAUGUAGAUGUCGAGGCCUCAUCAUUGCUUGCCAGAGGCCUCAUGUGUAUGUCGUGCGUCCCACCAGAGGCCUCUUUUAAUUAGAGGAAGGGCGGUGCGGAGAAGACAUCAUUAGUCACCCUGGGAGAAGAAAGUUCGGUGGCGGUGCGUGUAAAGAGGAGACUUUGGUAGUUUCUGGUGGAGUUGUGGUAGCCGUAGGGACGACGAGAGUGAGAGAGGACUGGGGACGGAGGAGAGGUGAUGGAUGGAAAAAAAUUGGGUGAUUGAGGACGAAAACCAAGAUGAAAANNNNNNNNNNNNNNNNNNNNNNNNNNNNNNNNNNNNNNNNNNNNNNNNNNNNNNNNNNNNNNNNNNNNNNNNNNNNNNNNNNNNNNNNNNNNNNNNNNNNNNNNNNNNNNNNNNNNNNNNNNNNNNNNNNNNNNNNNNNNNNNNNNNNNNNNNNNNNNNNNNNNNNNNNNNNNNNNNNNNNNNNNNNNNNNNNNNNNNNNNNNNNNNNNNNNNNNNNNACUAGAUGUCUCUGUAGUGAAGUAAUAUGAGCAUAACUUAAUUGAUCAGUGUAAAACUUUGAAUUGGUUAAGUAUACUACACUAAAGUAAGUUGUAAAGCCUAAUUGCAAUUAUAUCUUUGAGGGCAAUGCUUAUGAGUUGCGUGACAAUCUUGUCUGUUCUGGAUCUUGCAUCUGAUUCUAAUUAAACAGUACAUGUUAGAUGUUUUUAAUGAGGUCCACGUUAGAUUUGAUUGUUAAUUUAUAGUGCGGGUGAAAGCGGAUUCUAUCCUUUUCGUCUGCCAUUUUUCCUUUCAUAAAAUGUGUCCAUGGAGUAAUUCUCCACAAAAACAAACUUAACUGGACAAAAUAUCCACGGCAAGUCGCAUAUCUUGUGCAACUGUUCACUGUUGAAAGCUUAUUGUGCCACUACCCAUCAUUGCAAGGAAAAAAUACAGAAGAUUUAUGUUCUACCAAAUACAUUCUUUUGUUCAGAUUUAGCCAGGUAUGAUCCUGGUUGCGUCAGCCAUUAGAGUACAUUGCGAUCGACUAGACAGUUUCAGUGCUCAUCUUGCCUACUUUUGCAGCACUAGAUUUGCGAUCAGGUAGAUAAACACAACAACAAAGGAGACGACAGAUGCCAGCGGCCCAUAUUUCCCAAGAAUUCUCUGUGGGUUAAUUCCAUAAUACGGAUUGAAUUCUCUACUGGCACGGAAUCCAGCAACAAGGGCCACACCAUGCUGACACUAGCAGCUAUGUGUUGCUCCCGUGGGCAAGACCUGCCCAAGGAGGAUAGGUAAGAGAAAUGGCUGAAGACACACCAACACCUGGCAACAUGUAGGUUCAUAUUUCACCCCCACCCUUGGAUAAAACCGUGAAUCAUUUGAAACAUAUUAAAACUUGAGUGCAUUUUUUAUUUUGGAGAAAUAUAUAUGCUCACAAGAGCUUAGGAGUCACACGUCGGUUCUAGGUAAUUAAACAAACAAGAACAUUCACUUGUUGAGAAAUUUUACCACCUCUUCUUGCUUCUUUUAUGACACUAGAACUUGACGGGCUUUGGGUCACCUCCUUUUCGGUUUAUAAGGCUUGCGCGUAUCUCUAGGUUGACAAAUAGACCAACUUAAUACAAGUUGUAUAUCACAAAAAAUAUAUAAUUAGGAACUUCAAAUCGUAUACUUUCUAAUGGUAUAAUUUUUAGACUAUACAACUCAUGUUAUGUUGGUCAAGUUAUAGAUCCAGGGAUAUGUACAAGCCUUAUAAACCGGAAAGGAGGUAUGUUAGUAGAUAAACAUGCCAAUUAAGGACUUCUUGACAAGUCUAUGCAGAUUAAAGGUAUGUUAGUAGAUGGUGUAAUAAAUACAUGCUUUUAGCUAUCUAAGGAUACAAAUAUGCCACUAUUUACUUUGUAAAUGCUCGAAAUCAUUCUCAGAAAUUUUAGUAACAACAGUUGUCAUGAACAACUUGGACUAAAUGCAUCAAAUGUUACAAAUAAUACAUAAAAACAUUCAAAUGUACUUAGAGUGAAUCAAUUAAGACGUGUAAAGCUAGUACUAAUCCAAUAUUUCUUAAUGACUUGCAUAUACUUACAACACUUGACGUAAAGAGUGAAUCAAUUAAGACGUGCAAAGCCAGUACUAAUCCAAUUUUAUUAAUAGCUUCCACAAAAUUACAACACGUGGCGUAAAAAGGGAAUAUGAUGAGUCAUGUAUUGAUAACGUGUACAACAUUACUACCCUUGACAUAAAAAGAGAAGUUGAUGAGUCAUGUCUUAAUAACGUGUACAACAUUACUAUCAGCUUGUUCAUCUUACCAUCAUACUAUACAACACUAUAAGUUAGUUUAAAAAAGAAUAAGAGUCCAGAACAAACAUCACAAUACUAGCCUGAUCUAUAUUAACAACAUGCACAAGGACACAAAUUUAGUUCCCCGCAAGCUAUGAAGAUUUGGUUUAUGUCUAACAACUUGUACAAUAUGACAAACUUAGAUCCAAAAGGAAUGCAAACCAGAUAAUUGUAAUGCAAUCCAGAUAAUUAUUUGACAUGCAAAGUGAAUAAGAUGAGUCACUACCAAUUAUCAAGUUUUCCUCACUCUUAGAUGAUAUGAACCAUAAAAAGGCAACUUUGAUGAUCACUCCAUAAUUACGUUUGUAUGUAGUGCCACCAAACACAACACACAAAAUAAUUAGUUCGAUAAGCAUCGAAUCACUUUAAAAAGGAAAGCAAAAAUGGAAAGAAACCUAACCAUGGGAGCUAUAAAAAGGCCUGCAAUAUGUAGACUCCAUACCAUCAUCCAUCCUUCACACAACUAGAGCACAAGUAUCAAAUCCAAGUACGUAGUGGUUAACGCAAAUUAACCAUGAAGACCUUACUCAUCCUAACAAUCCUUGUGAUGGCAGUAACCAUCGGCACCGCCAAUAUGCAGGUCGACCCUAGCGGCCAAGUACAAUGGCCACAACAACAACCAGUCCUGCUGCCUCAGCAACCAUUCUCCCAGCAACCACAACAAACAUUUCCCCAACCCCAACAAACAUUCCCCCAUCAACCACAACAACAAUUUCCCCAGCCUCAACAACCACAACAACAAUUUCUCCAGCCACAACAACCAUUCCCCCAACAACCACAACAACCAUAUCCCCAGCAACCACAACAACCAUUCCCCCAGACUCAACAACCCCAACAACUAUUUCCCCAGUCCCAGCAACCACAACAACCAUAUCCCCAGCAACCACAACAACCAUUCCCCCAGACUCAACAACCCCAACAACAAUUUCCCCAAUCCCAGCAACCACAAUAACCAUUUCCCCAACCCCAACAACCGCAACAAUCAUUCCCCCAGCAACAACCAUCGUUCAUUCAGCCAUCUCUACAACAACAGCUGAACCCAUGCAAGAAUUUACUCUUGCAGCAAUGCAGACCUGUGUCAUUGGUCUCAUCCCUCUGGUCAAUGAUCUGGCCACAAAGCGCUUGCCAAGUGAUGAGGCAACAAUGCUGCCAACAACUAGCACAGAUUCCUCAGCAGCUCCAGUGUGCAGCCAUCCAUAGCGUCGUGCAUUCCAUCAGCAUGUAGCAAGAACAACAACAACAACAACAACAACAACAACAACAACAACAACAACAACAACAACAACAACAACAACAACAACAACAACAACAACAACAACAACAAGGCAUGCGUAUCCUGCUGCCACUAUAUCAGCAACAACAGGUGGGUCAAGGUACUCUCGUCCAGGGCCAGGGCAUCAUCCAACCCCAACAACCAGCUCAAUUGGAGGCGAUCAGGUCAUUGGUGUUGCAAACUCUUCCAACCAUGUGCAACGUGUAUGUCCCACCUGAGUGCUCUAUCAUCAAGGCACCAUUUGCCAGCAUAGUCACCGGAAUUGGUGGCCAAUGAAAAACGCAAGAGCCAUACUAAUAGGUAGAUGGAUCAUCGUUGCUUAGCUGAUUUACCAAUCGAUGUAACGAUGCCAAAUAAACUGGUGUGCACCAUCAUGUGUCAUCCUGACCAGUGCUAGUUCAAGAUUGGGAAUAAAAGAGAAGAACGUUCAUGUUUGCCAACAUUGCUUGUCAUUGUUCCAUUCACUGUGUAUUUAUAUUUUCAUCCUGAACUGCAAUUCUAGUCUUACACAUCAAUAGCUAGUUGCUCAUGUCGGCAGGUUCCUAUGUAAUCUAAUGAUUAAUGGUCGACCUAUUAAUCUAGUUUAUCGGCCGAUUGAUCUAUUAAUUGGUGCUCCCAAGCCGACCGAGCAGCCAUCAGUUACCGAUUUCCUGAACAUUGCACACAAUAAUAAUUCAACGUAUUUCAAUGUCUAGAAGUAAAAGGGCCAUAUAAGCAGUAAAACAAGCGCCUGAUUAGAAACCAUCCAUCACUUUAAAUUAAUCUAGAUAUUUUUGUGUUGGUGCAAUUUUGAGUUGAUGGCACCGACACAUUCUUGAAAGAAAUUCUACAGGGAACUCCAAAGAGGUGAAAAUCAAACUAAAGUUGCCACAUGGUAAAAGAUAAAUCAUGCGGCAAGCAAGAGGAAAUAUUGAGUCACAAUAGCUAGCGCCAAACAUGUAAUUAAACUAUUCUUAUGGUUUCUUGCAAAGAGGGAAGUAAUUUACAGAUGACAAACAAAACGUAAUUAGCAUUAGUUCUAAUUGAUUGUAGAAAUUUCUUUUAUCGGUAGAAUAACUCAGUUGUUAUUUAUUUAAACAUGCACUGUGAUAUUGACUUAUCUCAAUCUAGGAACACAAAGCAAAUACUACAUUUGCUGCUAUGGACUCCAAACAGAUGAGAAAUCAUUAUGUGUAGAAGUUCCUUAGAAGGAUAUUUUGGCCUAAACAAAUUUAACAUUGUACUCGUGUCUUACAUAGUUAAAGCUGAAAAAUCAACAUAACCAGUGGACACUUUGUAAGACAAGUGUGGGAAACAAAUAGUAGGAUAUAAAUUUGAGUAGAAUGUUUGCUCAAAUGUUGAAAAAAUAACCCAGCAAACUAAAACUCAGCAAAACAGUCUAUUCUACCUUAUACGGACUGUCACAAUGAUAAUGCUAUGUUUUUUUGGAAUACAAAUUCAAAAAAAAUCAGCCACAGAUCCCUGAGCCCAUCCAACAGGAGAGCUUCAAUUGAAAGAAGUAUUAGUUCGAUUAGACCAUGUAGUACCUAAAGGAGGAUGGUGGCCCCAUGGAACAACUCCAGCCUUUCCAUUGUGUCCGGGCGCAAUGCGAUAAUGGAGUUAUGGUCAUUGGUGGCUUCGCUGGCCAUAGACGGCUUAUUGACUUCUUCCACUUGAGGAUCACCGUGAACCAGUCCUUCUUCCCCAUCCUACAUAAGCAUGCCAACCACAAAUAAAUGCUCAAAAAGACCAUCUUAAAUGUCAUUGAACCGGAUUAUGGGAGGCAGAAUCUUAUGACUCGGUGGAUGCAGAUAUCGAGGCCUCAUUUGUAUGUUGUGCCUCCCACCAGAGGUGUCUUCUAAUUAGAGUGGUGCGAGAAGACAAUAUAAGCCACCGUGCAAGCGAAACAAUUAGGAGGCACUGCUUGUAAAGCGGAGAAUUUGGCACUGUCUGGUGGCAUUGCGGUAGCCGCAGGGUGGAAGAGAGAGAGGGAGGGAGGGAGGGAGGAUGAAUCGGAAAACCAGGAGCAGGGGUGAUCAACGAUGAAAACCAAGAUGAAAAAACAAUGUGCAAGAGAGGAAGAGGAAUAGGCUAGCUAUUUCUGUAGUGAAGUAAUAUGAGCAUAACUUAACCCAUAGGUGUGGAACUUGGAUUCGGUUGAAGUAUAUACUAUACUAAAGUAAGCUGACUAAUUGCAAUUUAAAUCUUUGGUGGCAAUGCUUAUGAGUUGUGAGGCCAUCUUGACUAUUCUGGAUCUUGCAUAUGAUUCUAAUUAAACAGUAUAUGUCAGAUGUUUUUAAAGAGGCACACAUUAUAUUUGAUUGUUGAUUUACACAUUCUAAUUAAACAUUAUAUGUCAGAUGUUUCUAAUGAGGCCCACGUUAGAUUUGUAUGUUGAUUUACAAAGGGAUUGAUAAGUUGAUUCUAUCCUUUUUCCUCUGCCAUUCUUCCUUUCAUAAAAUGUGUCCAUCGAGUAAUUAUCCACAAUAACAAACAUGACUAGACAAAAUAUCCACGACAAGUUGCAUAUCUUGUGCAACUGUUCACUGGUGAAAGGCUAUUGUGCCACUAUCCAUCAUUGCAAGGAAAAAACACAAAAGAUUUAUGUUCUAUCAAAUAUAUUAUUUUGUUUGGAUUUAGCCAGGUAAGAUCCUGGUUGCGUCGGCCAUUAGAGUACCUUGCGAUCGACUAGACAGUUUCAGCAUAUCUUCUUGCCUCCUUUUGCAUCACUAGAUUUCGAUGGGCUUGCGAACAGGAAGAUAAACACGGCAACAAAGGAGACGAGAGAUGCCAGUGAUCCAUAUUUCCAAAUAAUUCUCUGCAAGUGAAUUCCAAAGAAUGCAUUGAAUUUUGUGCUGGCGUAGAAUCCAGCAGCAAGGGAAACACCAUGCUGACGCUAGGAGCUACGUGCUGCUACCGCGAGCUCCCAUGGCAAGACCUGCCCAGGGAGGACCGGCAAGAGAAACGGCUGAAGACACACCAAGACCCGGCAACAUGUAGGUUCAUAUUUCACCCCCACCCUCAGAUAAAAAUGUGAAUCAUUUCAAACAUAUUAAAACUUGAGUGGAUUUUUUUAUUUCGGAAAAAUAUGCCCACAAGAGCUCAGGAGUCAACGUCAGUUCUAGGUAAUUAAACAAACAAGAAGAUUGACUUGUUGAGCAAUUUUACUACAUUUUCUUGCUUCCUUUUACGACACUAGAACUUGAUGGACUUCCGGUCAGCUAGAUAAACAUGCCAAUAAAGGACUUCUUGACAAGUCUGUGCAGAUUAAAGGUAUGUUAGUAGGUGGUGUAAUAACACAUGAUUUUAGCUAUCUAAGGAUACAAAUAUGCCACUAUUUAUUUUGUAAAUGCUGGAAAUCAUUGUCGGAAAUCUUAGUAACAACAGUUGUCAUGAACAACUUCGACUAAAUGCAUCAAAUGUUAGGAAUAAUACAUACUAACUUAGUUCAAUAAAUUAACCUAUUGAAGCAAGAAAAGAAACCUUGAAAUGUACUUAGAGUGAAUCAAUUAAGACAUGCAAAGCCAGUACUAAUCCAGUUUUAUUAAUAACUUCCACAAAAUUACAACACGUGACGUAAAAAGGGAAUAUGAUAGGUCAUGUAUUGAUAACGUGUACAACAUUACUACCCUUGACAUAAAAAGAGAAGUUGAUGAGUCAUGUCUCAAUAACGUGUACAACAUUACUAUCAGCUUGUUCAUCUUACCAUCAUACUAUACAACACUACGAGUUAGUUUAAAAAGGAAUAAGAGUUCAGAAUGAACAUGACAGUACUAGCCUAAUCUAUCUUAACAACAUGCACAAGGACACAAAGUUUGUCUGCCACAAGAUAUGAAGAUUUGGUUUAUGUCUAACAACUUGUAUAACAUGACAAACUUAGAUCCAAAGGGAACACAAUCCAUAUAAUUGUUUGACAUGUAAAGUGAAUAAGAUGAGUCAGUGCCAAUUAUCAAGUUUUCCUCACUCUUAGAUAAUAUGAGUAGCAAAAAGGCAACUUUGAUGAUCACUCCAAAAUUACGAUUGUAUGCCGUGCCACCAAACACAACACACCAAAAAAUUAGUUCGAUAAGCAUUGAAUCACUUUAAAAAAGGAAAGCAGUGAUGAAAAGAAACCUAGCCAUGGUGGCUAUAAAAAGGCCUGCAAUAUGUGAGCUCCAUACCAUCAUCCAUCCUUCACACAACUAGAGCACAAGCAUCAAAUCCAAGUAGGUAGUAGUUAACGCAAAUCCACCAUGAAGACCUUACUCAUCCUGACAAUCCUUGCGAUGGCAAUAACCAUCGCCACCGCCAAUAUGCAGGCCGACCCUAGCGGCCAAGUACAAUGGCCGCAACAACAACCAUUCCUGCAGCCUCACCAACCAUUCUCCCAGCAACCACAACAAAUAUUUCCCCAACCCCAACAAACAUUCCCCCAUCAACCACAACAACAAUUUCCCCAGCCUCAGCAACCACAACAACAAUUUCUCCAGCCCCGACAACCAUUCCCCCAACAACCACAACAACCAUAUCCCCAGCAACCACAACAACCGUUCCCCCAGACUCAACAACCCCAACAACCAUUUCCCCAGUCCAAGCAACCACAACAACCUUUUCCCCAGCCCCAACAACCGCAACAAUCAUUCCCCCAACAACAACCAUCGUUGAUUCAACAAUCUCUACAACAACAGUUGAACCCAUGCAAGAAUUUCCUCUUGCAGCAAUGCAAACCUGUGUCCUUGGUGUCAUCCCUCUGGUCAAUCAUCUUGCCACCAAGCGAUUGCCAGGUGAUGCGGCAACAAUGUUGUCAACAACUAGCACAAAUUCCUCAGCAACUCCAGUGUGCAGCCAUCCAUAGCGUCGUGCAUUCCAUCAUCAUGCAGCAAGAACAACAAGAACAACUACAGGGUGUGCAAAUCCUGGUGCCACUGUCUCAACAGCAACAGGUGGGUCAAGGUAUUCUCGUCCAGGGUCAAGGCAUCAUCCAACCUCAACAACCAGCUCAAUUGGAGGUGAUCAGGUCAUUGGUGUUGCAAACUCUUCCAACCAUGUGCAACGUGUAUGUCCCACCUUACUGCUCCACCAUCAGGGCACCAUUUGCUAGCAUAGUCGCCAGCAUUGGUGGCCAAUGAAAAAAAACAAGAGCUAUUCUAAAAGUUAGAUGGCCAUCGUUGCUUAGCUUAUGCACCAAUCGAUGUAACGAUGACAAAUAAAGUGGCGUGCACCAUCAUGUGUGAUCCUGACCAAGUGCUAGUUCAAGAUUGGAAAUAAAAGACAAACUCAGUCCUUGUUUGCCAGCAUUGCCUGUCAUUGUUCCAUUCCAUGUGUAUUUAGAUGUCUGUCCCUAAUCAUAAUUCUAGCCUUGCACAUCAUUAGCUAGUUGCUCGUGUGGUUGUUGACAUGUUAAUCUAGUUAAUAGGCUGAUUGAUCUAUUAGUUGUUGCUCGCAAGUUGAUCGAGCAGCUAUCAGUUGGCAAUUUCCUGAACAAUGCAUACAAUAAUAUUUCAACGUAUUUCAAUUUCUAGAAGUAAAGGGUCAUUUCAGCAGAAAAACAAGUGCG